rnacentral:lncRNA from 1 species
GCACAAAUUUGCUUGCUGGCAACCAUGUGAGAUGGGACUUUCUCCUCCUUGACUUUCGCCAUGAUUGUGAGGCCUUCCCAGCCAUGUGGAACUCUUCUUUCGUGGCAAUUUUCCCCCAGGAGGGAUUUCCCUGCAGUGGACCUCCUCCCCAGUGGUACCUUCAGCCAUCAGAACACCUCGCUUUAGAUCUGUGGGUCCCAAAUUUCAUCAAAUCCAAUGACCAUUUCUAUGAUCACUCAUUCUGGGGGCAGCCCUCUGGCAUGUAAUGAGCAGUCCUAUGGAGAGGCCCAUGUGACAGUAGCCAUGCGAGUGACACUGGAAGUGAAACCUGCAGCUCCAGUCAAGCCUUUAGAAGACUGCAGCCCUGGCUGACAGCUUGACAGCAAACUCAUGAGAGACUCUCAGCUUGAACAACUCAGCUAAACUGUUCCUGGGUUCCUGGUCCUCAAAAACUGAAACCUCAGUUCCUCCUCAUGUGGGCCUCUCCACAGGCUGCUCGAGUACCCUCACAAGAUGGUGGCUGCCUUGCCUCAGAGGAAGAGACUGAAGAAAAUAAGAUAGUUGGAAAAGACUUGGCUGAAGAAGUAACACGUGACCUGGAGCCUGAAUGAUGAGAAAGAGGCAACUUUAAGACAACUUGAAAGUCAAGUUUUCAGAACAAAAGGGACUCCAAGUACAAGAAGCCUGAGGAAGAACCAAGCUUAGAGUGUUCAAGGGACAGACAGGAGGCCAGUGUGGUUGAAGCAGGGGCACCACCAUUUUACCUGUGGUCACCAGCAUGCAUAAAAUGUACAACACGAAGACUGAACCCUAGUGUGAGGUGGAGGGGAGCAGGGCAGAGGGGCCAGAUUAUAGGUUCUCAAAGGCCAUGGUAAGAAUUUUAUAUUUCAUUCUGGUUGUGAUGAGAAACUUCUGACUUCAAGUUUGAAGCAAGGGAGUGACAUCAUCUAUGUGAUGCUCUAGAACAACUGCUCUAGUUACAAGGCGAAGGAUGGACAGGAGGGCAGGAGAAGGAAGCCUGACAGAUUCUCCAAAAGGACAAAAAGUCAACGUAGCUGAUGAUCAUGAUGAGGGCAGUCACGCUUAGGGCUGGAGUCAAAGGGCAGUUUUGGGAAAAUUUUGGGAAAAUGGCAGAAGUAGAAGUCUUGAAUAUCGCAUCAGAAAUGUGAUGCUCAUUUUUAUUUUUUUCUUUUCUUUUAGAUGGAGUCUUGCUCUGUUGCCCAGGCUGGAGAGCAGUGGCACGAUGUUGGUUCACUGCAACCUCCGCCUCCCAUGUUCAAGUGAUUCUCCUGCCUCAGCCUCCUGAGUAGCUGGGAUUACAGGUGUCCACCACCAUGCCCUGCUAAUUUUUGUAUUUUUAGUAGAGACGGGGUUUCACCAUGUUGGUCAGGCUGGUCUUGAACUCCUGACCCGCCUCGGCCUCCCAAAGUGCUGGAAUUGCUCAUUUUUAAUCUCAGCAGCUCAUUCACAGAUCAUACAUGGAAACUUAUCACUCACACCUAAGCCUUCUUUGCCUGUCUUAGAGAUCCCUGGUGCAAGAAACUGUAAGAUUAUUUGACACAUUUUCUCUGUCUCACCCUAACAGCCUCUUUCUAGUAUUUGUUUUAAAAAACUUAUUUUUUUUUUUUUUGAGAAGUUUUUUAGAGCAAGGGUUUGGGGAGACAGAGGGAUGAAUAAGUGGAGCCCAGAGGGUUUUUAGGGCAGUAAAACUACUCUACAUGAUACUGUAAUGGUGGAUACAUGUCACCACCAUGCAUAAAAUGUACAACACCAAGACUGAACCCUAGGGUGAAAUAUGGACUCAGGCUGAUAAUGAUGUGUCAGUGUAGGUUUAUCAGUUGUAACAAAUGUACCACUUUGAGGCUGGGAGCGGUGGCUCAUGCCUGUAAUCCCAGUACUUUGGGAGUCCAAGGUGGGCAGAUCACCUGAGGUCAGGAGUUCAAGACCAGCCUGGCCAACAUUGUGAAACCUCGUCUCUACUAAAACUACAAAAAUUAGCUGGGCAUGGUGGCGGGUGCCUAUAAUCCCAGCUACUUGGGAGGCUGAGGCAGGAGAAUCGCUUGAACCUUGGAGGUUGAGGUUGCGGUGAGCUGAGAUGGUGCCACUGCACUCCAGCCUGGUCCACAGAGCGAGACUCCAUCUCAAAAAAAAAAAAAAGUACCACUUUGGGGGUGGUGUUGAUAAUGGGGGAGGCUGUACAUGUGUAGGGGUAGGAGGCAUGUAGGAAAUGUCUGUAGCUUUCCCUCAGUUUUGCUGUAAAUCUUACUAGUGUUUGAAUGCCAAAUCCUUAAGAUCAUAUCUAUUUCUUGUCACUGGCAGUGAGUUCUGUUCUUGACUUUCCACUAAGAGCAGUACUGAUGACAACAUCCCGCAGUAUUUUAUGAGCCGGAGAACAUUAACAUAUCUAAAAGAGUACAUUUUCCUCUGGAGGGCCACCAGCCUGUAAACUGCAGGUCAAAAAGCUGAGUGUGAACAGCAUUGUUAGGACAUGUUUCUAAGUGUAUGCCAAUAUGUCCACAGAGGUUUUUUUAGACUUAUAAAGCGAGCUAAAGAAGACUUUUGUUCCAUUUUCUGAUUUUUAAUUUAUAUAGACAUUUUUUCAUUUGAAGAAAGUGCAUAUAUUUUUAAAGGAAAGGUACUCUUAAGUCUAUCCAUUUAAGAAAAUAUUAAUCUCCAUGGAGAAGAAAUUUUCCAUAUUUUAAAAUUUAUUGUGUGUAGGUAUAUUCCAUAUACACUCUAUAAAUAAAAAGCACACUGGCUGGGCGCAGUGGCUCAUAUCUAUAAUCCCAAUGCUUUGGGAGGCUGAGGCGGGCAGAUCACCUGAGGUCAGGAGUUUGAGACCAGCCUGGCCAACAUUGUGAAACCCUGUCUCUACUAAAGAUACAAAAAUUAUCUGGGUGUGAUGGCAGACGCCUAUAGUCCCAGCUACUCAGGAGGCUGAGGCAGGAGAAUCACUUGAACCUAGGAGGUGGAGGUUGCAGUGAGCCAAGAUGGCACUACUGCACUCCAGCCUGGGCAACAGAGCGACACUCCAUCUCAAAAAAAUAAAUAAAUAAAUAAAAUAAAAAGCACACACUAUCACAAAGAAGAUGGUGGCAAAAAUAAUAAUAAAAAUAGUAAGUAAAUAAAUAGCACAGAAGUAUUUACAGUAAAAAAUUAGGUCUCCUUCCAGCCCCCACCUGCCAAUCACUCUCAGGAGGCACCCACUGUCUUCAGCUACAAAGCUUUCAGAGAGAUUUUAUUAAUAUAAGCAAAUACAUACUUUUUAAAAAAGUAUAAAUAAGGCCUGGUGCAGUGGCUCACGUCUGUAAUUCCAGCACUUUGGGAGGAUGAGGUGGAAGGAUCUCUUCAGGCCAGGAGUUAGAGACCAGCCUGGGCAACAUAACAAGACCCCCAUCUCUAAAAAAACAAUCAAAAAAACUAACUGGGCAUGGUGGCAUGGUUCUAUAGUCCCAGCUACUCAGGAAGCUGAGAGUGAGGGAUUUCUUGAUUCCAGGACUUCGAGGCUGUCACCCACUCCAGCUUGGGUGACAGAGCAAGACUCUGUCUCAAAAAAAAAAAAAGUAUAAACACUAGCAUAUCAUAUAUUGCCCUGGACUUUUCUUUUUGAUUUAACAUAUCUUGGAGAUUCUUCCAUAGCUGUGGAUAAGGAGUUGCCUCAUUCUUUUUCAGGGUAAGUUUAGUAUAAAGGGUGAUAUAGUGGGGAAAUUAUAUUUAAUUUAUUUUUGCCAACUCAGUAGCAGAGCUGUGACAAGAUUAAUCCUUAGAUUUUUGGAGGUUCAUAUCAAAUCAUUCAAAGCUUUGACAUUUUUCUCUUCUUUGUGGCUCUAUUUUCAUCACUAAAAUUCCCCAUCCUAUGCCCCUGCAGCCCCCAUCUGACGUUUGUCACUUCUCUAGCUUAGUCAUCUGAUCUAAUUUUGAUGAGUCAGAUGUAAAUAAACCCAGAUAAUGUGUCUUUUAGCCCAAAAGACUAAAAGAUAAAAUAAAAGGAAAUGCAUAGGACACAGGGCAGUUUGUUGAAUGGCUGAGAUUUGAAUAUGUGUGUAUUAAUUCUUUCUGAAUUACAGCUAGAUUCUGCCCUCCCCAGCUUUGUAUCUGGAGACGAGGGAAAAUGUGAUCCCAGUUCAUAUUAUGAGUGAACAUCUCUGACUGUUCUAAGAAGUCCUAUUCCCUUAGAUUACUGAAGUUCACAGGGAGAAAGCACCCACCCAGAUAUUUUUGGUUUUUGUUUGUUUGUUUGUUUGUUGAGAUGGAGUCUCACUCUAUUGCCCAGGCUAGAGUGCAACGGUAUGGUCUUGGCUCGCUGAAACCUUUGCCUCCUGGUUCAAGCGAUUCUCCUACCUCAACCUCCCAAGUAGCUAAGAUUUCAGACAUAAGCCACCAUGCCCAGCUAAUUUUUGUGUUUUUAGUACAGACAGGGUUUCACCACAUUGUUCAGGCUGGGCUUGAACUCCUGACCUCAGGCGAUCCACCCGCCUCAGCCUCCCGAAGUGCUGGGAUUACAGGCAUGAGCCACCGCACCUGGCCUCACCCAGAUAUUUUUCAAAUACCAUUUUCGAUUCCCACUCUCUUUCUUGAAGUAAGCAAGGCAGACACAUUUGCCAAGGAUAACUGAGAAUGUAAGGGCAAUCCAUGACUGGGCAGCUUGUGCAGGCUGUGUGCUAAAUGCACUGGGAAACAUGCCCUAUAAAUAGCCGUUCAUUGUCAGCAUGUGUGAAAAGACAAGAGAGCAUUCCGUGCUAUGAUUCAGGCCUAAUUAAGUGAUUGCGUCUGGGCACGGCUAUAAACCACUAGCUGCUUCAACUGGUAAUCCAGUCAGUAGGCAACUGCAGGGGCUCGCCACUGACUGAAGGCAGUGGAAGGUUGGCAGAAGGAGGCUGUUCAAGGCUGUUUUUGCCUUCACUAUGGCAAAAAUCAUUUUGAGGCACCUCAUAGAGAUUCCAGUGCGUUACCAGGAAGAGUUUGAAGCUCGAGGUCUAGAAGACUGCAGGCUGGAUCAUGCUUUAUAUGCACUGCCUGGGCCAACCAUCGUGGACUCAGCGGCAGAGACGCCACCCCGAGAAGGCAAAUCCCACUUUCAGAUCCUGCUGGACGUGGUCCAGUUCCUCCCUGAAGACAUCAUCAUUCAGACCUUCGAAGGCUGGCUGCUGAUAAAAGCACAACACGGAACCAGAAUGGAUGAGCACGGUUUUAUCUCAAGAAGCUUCACCCGACAGUACAAACUACCAGAUGGUGUGGAAAUCAAAGAUUUGUCUGCAGUCCUCUGUCAUGAUGGAAUUUUGGUGGUGGAAGUAAAGGAUCCAGUUGGGACUAAGUGACAUCGUAUCGGUUCCUGUUCAGAUGACAUGGGGAAGAUGAUGGUUCAGCCACUGGUACUACGAGAAUGUUUGUAUUACCCACAUUUGAAAUGAUUUGCUAUGAUUUUUAUGAAGAUUAAAAAUAUAUACACAGUUCCUGGUAUGUUGAGGUUGUCUUUAUUAUUCUUACUCAGAAAGGAAAAUUUGUAAAUAUGUUUGUGUGGCUCAAACUGAUACUAUUCUUACAACUGAAACAUUGAAAAUACAGAAGGCUGUAUUUGGAUAUUAGAGAGGACUCCGAAUUGUUUCUUAUUAUUCCAACAAUGCCAGCUGCAUUUGUAAUCACUGAUGGCAAAAGAGCUAUACCCAUUUAAGGAAUUCCUAUCCAUUUUAUGAAAAUCUUUUAUUUUGCCAAAAAGAGUUGUGAUUCCCUUCACUCGAUAAGCUUUUCUUUUUAAUGUAUUUUAAUUAAAAUGAGGUUUUAUAAAUAUGGAGUGCAAAAAUUAAAAUACAGUAUUUGGAAAUUGGGUCUGAUAUCUAUUUAUGAUUUAGUAUAGUUGUUACUGCCUUAAAGGUCAAUGGGAAUUUUCAGAUAUAAAUCUUAUUUUUAAAAAGUUCAAAUAUGUACCUCAUUCAUCUUUUUAAAGAUAUACUGAAUCCUAUCUGAAGUGUUUUGACUUUUUAAAGAUAGUAUAAGUUCUAUGGACACGUACAAAAUGUUCAUGAGAUAUGUAUUUACAUAUCCUCUUGUAAAUUAAUAUGAAGCUUAAGGACACCACUUUUAAAAGUUUGAUUGCUGAAUUCAGUGAGUUUUAAUCUGUGCUUUUUAGAUGCUCCAUAAACUUAGAUGGCAAAAUGUAACACAUCUGCUAUCUCUGCAUAAUCCUUAGCUUUAAAUAGCCUGGCAGCCAAUGGAAGUUCAACACCUGAGCUUACACUGCGUGUCUGAGUUUACACAGCACAUCUGAUGAUUGGUGCUUAUUAUAUUCUCCCAAACUACUGCCUUGGCUCAAGGUGGAGACAUUGGUAGAGGUUAAGGACUAGUGCCUUCAACAGCUGCUCUGGGACAUUCCAAAGGUUUGCUAUCUCAUUCUGUAUACAUUAAGUAUUUCUUCAGAGGCAGUGGCUGCCUGCCUUUUACCCCGCACUGAAUGUGAGCUGACAAGCAGCCCAAGGACAGUGCUAAGAAUAGACAUGGAAUGCAGGGUGUGGAAAACACCAGGGCAAAUGCAGAUUGCUGACAGUAUCCCAGUACUCCCCCACGUUGUUUUACUGUAGCUCAAGUUAAAAUGUAAAAGACAUGAAGCAAUAGAAAAACGAAUCAAACAGUUCUAAAAGUUAUUUUGAAAACAAAUGUAAUCUGAGAAGAAUGUUUACUGUCUAAUUAAAUUGAAAAGAUUUUGCAGUUAUAUGCAUAUCUGAGGUUUAUGCCUAUACAUGGAGGUUUGUGUGUCCAACUCAGAUAUGAAAAAUUUUGUUUGACCAAGUGAAUAUCACAGAUCAGCUUGGCUGCAUAACAAAGUUAAUAGCAGUCGUUGAGAUUCCAGAUCUACUAAUAUGAUCAGAACUGGGAUACCAUUUGUCUGGAUUAUCAUUCUUUCCCAGUGAUUGGCAGAAUAGUGUGAAAAGAAACUAAUGUGGUGAGAAACAAAAAAACCCUCUCUUUCGGCCUUGAUCUUACUCUAGAUGAGAUCCUCCUCCCGGGAAAAUUCAGGAGGUGAAAUUCCUACCAUGAGGAGCCACUGAUAGAAAAUAUUCUCUUUAAAAAUAAAAUUAAAGUAAACACAUGUCUAAUGAGCUCUUGUUUUUACAAGAUAAAUUUUAAAGUCUUAUAGAUAAGAUAUAGAUAAGUUUUAAAGAUAAAUUUUAAAGUCUUAUAGCCAUUUUUUUGAUUUGGGAAAUAUACCAAACACUAUAAAUAAUAAAAAUCAUCUAUGGUUCUUCUGCUACCAUGAGGCAGCUAUUUUAAAUAUCUUGUUCAACAACAGGACUACAUAAAUACAUGUAUCACUUUUCACAAAAUUAGGAUUAUAUCUGUAUGGAGUUUGAUAUCCUGAUUGUACUGGCUACUGUCUGUUGCCCUCCCCACUCCCACCAAGUCAAACCAUUCUCUGCCCUUCUCAGCCCCACUCUGAGCCCAAGCAGGCUGACCCUGAUGGGCCACAUCAUUCUAGUUUCUGGUUGGGUUCAGCCAAUAAGAGGCACUGACUGGAGACCAGAGAUUGCAGAGAGAUUAGUGGGCAAGAGGGGAGAAUGGUCAGGGAAUUCUUCUGUCGCCCUUAACCUGCUGCAGACCAAGGCCCUGUCAGGGCUGCAUCCUUCUAUGACUGAGUUCCUCCAGGGCUGCCACUCUCACAGGGCUUAGGGUUGUAACACUGUCUCUUCCUUUCGUCUGUUCAAAAGGAGGAGGAGGGGUGACUCUCUGCUCUUUCUUGUACCCUGUGUGUCACUAUCCCUUAUUGAUUCUCCUUACUUUGCCCACUCUCUCAUAAAUGGUCCUUUAGGCAAUGGAAUUGUUUUCUGCCAGAACUCUGAUUGUUUGACCUUUUAAUCAAUUGCAGAGUAAAUGCAUGUGAUAGCAAACAUUUAAGCAUACCUUUAGAAAGACCCAGUACGGUAGAUGUACCUGAAUGUGUGUUUCAAGUUAGGCAAUCUGUGCAUGGCCAACCUGGAGAUUCGUUUUUUUAUCUAUACAUCUGAGCCCCCACCCAGCCUGUUCCAUGGAAUAUGUGCCGUACAGGAGAUUGAGGCCUUGAGUUUUGAGUUAAAUGAUGGUUGCCAGGUGGAGUUCUUUCGAUGGAGGGUGUUAAGUGAAAGUGCUGUAGAAACUGCAUAAUGUUUGCAAGCAGUUGUGUUCUCCCAGCCAGCCUGCCGCUACUGGACUCUCUCUUCUGUAUUAACCCCCUAAUAAAACACCGCAUUUCAUCUGCUGGCUCUGGGUCUCUUCUUUGGCCUCUUUAACCUGGUGCUUUCCCUAUUGGGGUUGAUAGGUGUUCAUCGCAACAGUGACUUUUUAAAAAUUAGUGCAUCGCUUUCUUUUUCUACCAAACAAGAACUGAUUUGUAAUGGCUAUUCACUGUUCCAACAAAGCUUAAUUGUAUUAGCAUUUAACCAUUUCUUUUCAUUCUUGGUUCCAGUAGGAAACAGUUGGACCCUAUCAAAUUGGAAAAAUUCAAGAAGGGUUUAUUUAUAAAGAGACAUUACAGGCUGGGCAUUGCGGCUCACGCCUGUAAUCCCAUCAGUUUGGGAGGCCAAGAUGGGUGGAUCACUUCAGGUCAGGAGUUCAAGACCAGCUUGACCAACAUGGUGAAUCCCAGUCUCUACUAAAAAUACAAAAAUUAGCUGGGCAUGGUGGCACGUGCCUGUAGUCCCAGCUACUAGGGAGGCUGAGGCAGGAGAAUUGCUUGAACCUUGGAGGCAGAGGUUGCAGUGAGCCAAGAUGGCACCACUGCGCUCCAGCCUGGGUAACAGAGUGCGACUGUCUCAAAAAACAAAACAAAACAAAAAUAAAAAACAAGAGAGAGAGAAACAUUACAAAGGAGUGGGGAGGGCAUAGAGGCACUGCAAAGGAAAGCGGAGUAAUCUGACGUUCAGUGUGGAGUUGUUACGUCCCCCAGGUCCAAAGGGAUGGGAGGAGGAAGCAGGUCUCAGAAAUCAAAAGGAAAGUCGCAUAGAGGAGACUACCAGCUGUGACUUUCAUCUGAGGGCAUGACCAGUCCAAGGAGACCUCUUACAGGGAGGGAGCCAGGAGAACAAAUACUUCCUCCUUCCCAUCUCCUGCUAGGGUCCCCCAUUGGCUGGAUCUGACUGGAGGCCAGAGGGCAUGGGAGUCCUGUCAUCUAGUUCAACGGCCCCCCAGGGCAAAGGGCAGGAUGGAGAAAAGUGAGGAUGACCCUCAGGGGCAGGAGGAUAAUAUCCAGUACUCCAAUCAAAUGAGUCCUAUUGUCAGAGUUCUCUGUUAGAAAGUCUCUUUCUACAAAGUAAAGCUUGGGAUGAGGAUGGGAUGAGGAAGAGCUGACACUUUAUUUGGAAAGUGUCAAGCCCAGGAUAGUAAAGAUGAGGAAAUAGGGGAAAUGAGACAAGGAAAAACUGGGGAGCUAAGAUGGUGUGAUUAGGGGAUGUGUCACUGUGCUGACCACCACGCCACAGGGAGCUGUGAAGAGGCUCAGCAUGUCUGUGGGCAGGGAUGUUGGCUCAGCACAGGGAAUCGCUCCAUGGAGAAGUUUUCUUCAGGGAGAAACAAAUCUUAAAGAAGUCCCCAGGAAAAUCAAGGGGAGAGAGGGAAUUUGCUCACCUUAUUCUCUACAAUAUCCCAUCUCCUAUUAGUCAAGGUUCAGCUCACAGGGGAUAAACUUUCCUGUACUUCUGGGUUCUAUCAUUCAAUGCCUUGUUGGAAACCAGACCCUGAUGAUGUGACAUUUCAUCCAAGCUGGGAGCAGAAGAAUGACAGCAUGAUUAGGAGCAGAAGAAUGACUCAGCAUGAGUAGGGCUCAAGGCUUCAGUCAGUGGACUCUUGCUGCCUUGGAAGCCUGGCAAAACUGCUGGCAAAAGUGGCAGCAGCAUGGUCUGGGAGGCAGGCGAUGCCUUCAGAAACAAGGUGUCAGUCAAAAAGAUAUGCAAGGUUUGUAUCCAGUAAACCUUAAAUACAAAACUGCAGGAAGAGAAUGCCAGGCAGAUCAGACAGUCUUAUAUCAUCUACUGCUCUGCAACCUACACUGCCUUCAGAUUUUAUGGACCCUAAUGUCACUUUAUAUUUUGAUCUAAUUUUUAAUCCACUUAGGUGCAAAGUUAGUCCUCUUAAACAUCUCCAGGAUUUUUCUUUUUCUGUAAAUUGUGGACCAAGGUUGUGUGUUUAUUAUUUAAAGCUGUCUGCCAGAAAGCUAGAAGUCAAUGAAGAUUUUCAAGAUUUUUGUUCUCAGUGAUCUCUCCAAGUCCAAACUGCACUGAGGUAUCAGGGAACCUGCCCCAAUAUUCAUGUAGGUUCUUUUCCAUUUUCCUUAAGUGUCAGCCAGCUUGAAAAAUAAAGGGACAGAGUACAAAAGACAGAAAUUUUAAAGCUGGGCGUCCGGGGGAGACAUCACAUGUCGGUAGGUUCUGUGAUGCCCCACACGCCGCAAAAACCAGCAAGCUUUUGUUAGGGAUUUUCAAAAGGGGAGGGAGUGUGCGAAUAGGUGUGGGUCACAGACAUCAAGUACUUUACAAGGUAAUAGACUAUCACAAGGCAAGUGGAAGCAGGGCGAGAUCACAGGACCACAGGACUGAGGCGAAAUUAAAAUUGCUAAUGAAGUUUCAGGCACCAUUGUCGUUGAUAACAUCUUAUCAGGAGACAGGGUUUUUGAGAUCAACGGGUCUGACCAAAAUUUAUUAGGCGGGAAUUUCCUCUUCCUAAUAAAUCUGGGAGUGCUAUGGGAGACUGGGGUCUAUUUCAUCCCUGCAGUCUCAACCCUAAGAGAUGGCUACGCCCAGGGUGGCCAUUCAUAGGCCUACCCUCAGGCGUGCAUUCUCUUUCUCAGGGUUGUUCCUUGCUGAGAAAAAGAAUUCAGUGAUAUUUCUCCCAUUUGCUUUUGAAAGAAGAGAAAUAUGGCUCUGUUCUACCUGGCUCACCAGCAGUCAGAGUUUAAGGUUAUCUCUCUUAUUCCCUGAACAAUUGCUGUUAUCCUGUUCUUUUUUCAAGGUGCCCAGAUUUCAUAUUGCUCAAACACACAUGCUGUACAAUUUGUGCAGUUAAUGCAAUUAUUACAGGGUACUGAGAUGACAUACAUCCUCCUCAGCUGACAGGAUUAAGAGUUAAACUAAAGACAGGCAUAGGAAAUCACAAGGGUAUUGAUUGGGGAAGUGAUAAGUCUCCAUGAAAUCUUUAUGUUUAGAGGUUGCAGUAAAGACAGGCAUAAGAAAUUAUAACAGUAUUAAUUUGGGGAACUAAUAAAUGUCCAUGAAAUCUUCACAAUCCACGUUCUUCUGCCAUGGCUUCAGCCGGUCCCUCCGUUUGGGGUCCCUGACUUCCUACAACACUGAGGUCCCCCACUUGUCCUUGGCCUAUUUUUCUCACCUACUUGUCCUUCAAGGUAGAGACACAGUCCUGGAAAUCUUAUUUGGAAAACGAAACAUCAAAAACAGAAGAAACAACAUGCUUCCCAGCUAGCUCUCCUCAUUAUCCUUUCUGCCAUCACAGCAUACUGUGCCCCACACUAUGAGCAGCAUGCCAAAAGUGCCUGGUUCCUACCCAAAAUACUUCCUGAAAGAUGUCCAGCUAGUCCAAGGCUACUGUUAGCCACCAGCGCACUGACUGCAUUUGGCAAUCGCAUGCACUUACCAGGCACGCUGGCCCUUCUCAAAGAGCCACCUUGAAGGGUUUUGUUUGUUUGUUUUGUUUUUUUGCCUGAGUGUCUCCUGUUUGCCCACUGUGUGCAAUUGUGUUUGGACCACGUCUUUUAGCAUUUUCUGAUAUUGGGAAGACAGUACAGUGUUAUGAAAGACUGAGAACUUCAACUGGAGUUCCACAGGUUUUUCUUUCAUGAAACAUUGCUUUAACACAAUCCUAUUCAAUUUCCAUACUUACCAUGAAACCCCAAACGAGAAAAAUGUAUGGAGGUCUUGCUUUACAGUAGGGUGUUACUCAGUAAGUUACAAAACACAUCUUGGCUGUAACCCUUUGCUGGGAGGCGAUGAGGCUCUGGAUAUGAGGAAGGAAAAUGGCCAGUAUCAGGGAUAUGGACAAUGCUUUCUUCCUUAAUUCCUGAUUCUCCUAAGCUUUUGCUAUAGGCAUAGCCUCUUGUCCCUGGAAUGGAUUACCUAAGUGUACACUUGUCACUGUUGAAAAUGUUAUAUGGAUGGGGACAGGAGGUGGGGUUGGAAGCAUCAUAUAUGGAAGCCCUAUGCUUAAAAAUAUGUAAUGGGAUCAUGUAUGGUCAGUCUAUGUAGAGAUUGCUAACAAGUGAUCAAAAAAAUCAGUGGAUUGGGUCUUGUGUUUGUCCCUAUUGAUGUGAUUAUCUGAAAGUUGAUCUGUUAAGGACCUUAGCAAGUCAAAAAGUUAUUUUCAUUUAUUUUUUAUUUUAUUUUAUUUUUUUUUGAGAUGGAGUCUCGCUUUGUCACCCAGGCUAGAGUGCAAUGGUGUGAUCUCAGCUCACUGCAACCUCUGCCUCCUGGGUUCCUGGGACUACAGGCGUGUGCCACCACGCCCUGUAGCACAAAUUUUUUUUUUGUAUUUUUAGUAGAGACGGGGUUUCACCGUGUUAGCCAGGACAGUCUCGAUCUCCUGACCUCGUAAUCCACCCACCUCGGCCUCCCGAAGUGCUGGGAUUACAGGUGUGAGCUACUGCGCCCAGCCAAAAAGUUAUUUUAGAAAACAUAUGAGGCAAGGAAAAUAAAAUGAGAAAAAACUGGGAAGCCAACUUGGUGUGAUGAUGGGAUGUGUUACUGUGCUGGUUACCAUGUCACAGGGAGCUGUGAAGAGGCUCGGCAGGUCUGUGGGCAGGGAUGCUGGCUCAGCACAUGGAACCGUUCCAUGGAGAAAUUCUCUUCAGGGAGAAACAAAUCUUAAAGAAGUCUUAGCCAGUUGCUAGGCUCAUGCCUGUAAUCUGAGCACUUUGGGAGGCUGAGGUGGGAGGAUCACUUGAGCUCAGGAGUUCCAGACAAGCCUUGGCAACAUGACGAGACUCCAUCUCUACAAAAAGAACAAAAAUAAGCCAUGAGUGGUGGCACGUGCCUGUAGUCUCAGCUACUCUGCAGGCUGAGGCGGGAGGAUAGCUUGAGCCUGGGAGGGUGAGGCUGCAGUACAGUCUAGGCAACAGAACAAGACCUUGUCUCAAAACAACAACAACAAAGAAAACCCAAGAAAAUAAAAAACAAAAACAAAAAAGUCCCCCAGGAAAAUUAAGGGAAUAGAGGGAAUUUAGCAUACAACCUCAAAUUUUUAAAAACCCAUGAUUUCCACUAGUUUAACAAAAAUACUUUUUACUAAUGAUCAUAGUUCUCUUCAGAGUCUGUCAAAUAAUUAGUCACAAAGAAGAAUUAAAAAUUAAAAUGUUGGUUUGGUACAGCUCUUAUAUUACAUUUUGAAAAUAAUUUUAUUUAGUGGUUGAGUGGGCCGGAUCCCACCUCCACCCCUGACCCCCCGCAAAAUAAGAGAGGUAGUAUUUUUAAUUUGAAAAGCAAAUGAUUCAAACUGCUGUUUACAUUUCCUGUGUUGUUUAAUACACAGUGUGUGUGUGUAUAUAAAAAUAUAAUCCUGUUUAUUAAUGUUUUCUAACCUCAAGGAAAUACAAAGAAUGUGCAAUGUGGUAAGAUCAAAUGAUCUGUAUGAUACCAUUCUUUGUAAUGUGUUGUUCAAAUAUUCUAUGUUCUUCCCUUUUUUCCCCUGAUACUAGAAAACAUAUAGAUUGUUGUCUUCGAAUCUCUCAAAAUUGGAGAUUCGAAAUUGGAAAAAAGGCAGUUUUCCAUUUUUAAAAAAAGUUCUGGCCCAUUUUUUACUUUGUGUAUUUUUAGAUUAUGUUGUUAUACUUUUAAGUUUGUUGUAUAAACUUAUAUAACUUUCCUAAUUGUAAGUUUAAAAUUGUAAUUUUUUUCUAUCGAAUUGUUUCUUAUAUUAUUAUGUAGGCCCACUUUUUAUCCCUAUUUAAUGCUUUUAGCCUUAAAUUCUAUUUUGCCUGAAAAAUACCACGUUUUUAUUAUUUACAUGGCAACUCUUGUUCUUUUAUAUUCAAUAUAUUGAAUACACUACAGUAUUUAAAUGUGUCUCUUAAAAGCAGUAGCAUAUAGCUGAAUUUUUAAAAAUGCAGUCUGAUCAUCUGUCUUUUAGUAGAUAAGUUUAAUCCAUUUACUUAUUGGAAUUAAAUAUUUGAAUUUAUUUCUUAUUUCAUAUUUCUGUUUAUCAUGCUUUUCUUUGCUUUUUUCCCUUUCAGAUUUUCGGUUUACUUCUUUGUUUUUUCUACUGAUCUUUAAGAUGUUAAAACUUAAACACUGCCUGAAAAUUUAUAGGCUAAUAUACAUUUUUGAAGGAAAAUAAUACAAGUAUAAAAAUUUAAACAUUUUCUUUGUCUUUUUUUUUUUGAGACAGAGUCUCACCAGGGUGGAGUACAGUGGUGCAAUCCCGGCUCACUGCAACCUCCGCCUCCCAGGUUCAAGCAAUUCUUUUGCCUCAGCCUCCCUAGUAGCUGGGACUACAGGCAUGCACCACCAUGCCUGGCUAAUUUUUUGUAUUUUGAGUAGAGACAGCAUUUCACCAUGUUGGCCAGGCUGGUCUCGAACUCCUGACCCCAGGUGAUCUACCCGCCUCAGCCUCCUAAAGUGCUGGGAUUGCAGGCGUGAGCCACCGCACCCCACCAAAAAAACUGUCAAUAUCCUUCUCCUGAUUGUGACUAGGUCAUUUGUGUCCUUACUACCCACUGAAUACUGUCCUCCAUCUUGUUGCUAUUCUUAAUUUUACUUUUAGACUGGGCUCAAUGGCUCACGCCCAUAAUCCUAGCACUUUGGGAAGCCAAGGUGGGAAGACAGCUUGAGGCCAGGAGUUCAAGACCAACCUGGCCAACAAUAGUGAGACCCCACCUCUUAUUUAUUUAAAACAUUUUUAAAAUUAAAUUUAGUUUUGGGCUGGGCACGGUGGCUCACACCUGUAAUCCCAGCACUUUGGGAGACUGAGUGGGGAAGAUUGCUUGAGCCCAGAAGUUCAAGACCAGCCUGGGCAACAAAAUGAGAACCCUGUCUCUACAAAAAAAGAGGAAAAAAAAAAUCAAAAAUGAGAUGGGAGGAUUGCUUGAGCCACAAGGUCAAGACUGCAGUGAACUGUGAUCGUGCCACUGCACUCCAACCUGGGUGACAGAACAAGACCCUGCCGGAAAAAAAAAAAAGUUUUACCUUUAAAUAUUGACUGUUAAAAUCCUACUAUUGGCCGGGCAUGGUGGCUUAUGCCUGUAAUCCCAGCACUUUGGGAGGCUGAGUCGGGCAGAUCACCUGAGGUCAGGAGUUCGAGACCAGCCUGGCCAACAUGUCAAAACCCCGUAUCUACUAAAACUACAAAAAAUUAGCCGGGCAUGGUGGUGUGUGCCUGUAGUCCCACCCACUAAGGAGGCUGAGGCAGGAGAAGGAGAAUCGCUUGAACCCAGGAGGAGGAGGUUUCAGUAAGCCGAGGUCAUGCCAUUGCACUCCAGCCUGGGUGACAGAGCGAGACUCCAUCUCAAAAAGAAAAAAAAAAAUCCUACUAUUAAAAGAAAAUGUAUGAAUUUCUGUGCUCACCUUUGUUUCUUGUUUUCCACAGCUGAACUUUGGGUUCCUAUCUCUUCCGGUUAAGGUUUCUAGUUAUUUUGAGGCUCUGUAGGUGAAAACUGUCUUUACAUUGCUUCACUCUUGAAUGAUAUUUAGCAAGGUAUAAAAUUCUAGAUGAAUGGUAAUUUUUACCUCAACACUGUAAUUAUUCUGUUGUCCUCUCCACUUAGAGUGGAGUUCUUAUUAGCAGCAACAUAAUCGUUCCUUUGUAUAUAAUCUGUUUUCUCUGGUAGUCUCAGAUAUUUUCUCUGUGAUGUUCUGUGGUUUCACUGUGAUUUGUCUGGGCUUGGAUCUGGAUUUGUUUGUGCUGCUUAAUAUGCAGUCUGAACAAAUAUCUUUUUUUAAAGGUCUGGACAUUUCAUGGCUAUUUCUUCUUCACAUGCUCUCCACAAAGGCUCCAUUCCCUUCAGUUAGAACUAUUACUAUAUAUAGAUUGAAGCCUCUCAAAAGCCCUUGGUCUUUCUGUGCUCUAUUUCUAGCUGAAUUCCUCAGUCCUUUCGUUCUUUCUUUCCUUUUGAAAUAUGCCAUACAUAUAGAAAAACUUAAUUAUUAUUGUUCAUAUGUUUUUUUAAAAGAUCAUCCAUGUAAUAAAUCACCCAGCAUAAGAAAUCGGUCACUGACAGCACCCAGAGGCUACUCUCCUUCCAGAGGCAACCACCAUCCUGUCCUAUGUGAUGAUUAAGAAAAGAUAAAAAUGUUACUACAUGUAUUUGCAUCUCUAAUCAAUGUAGUUUAGUUUUUACUUGUUUAAACUUUAUAUAACUGGAAGUAUAGCCUAUGUAUUUUUUGUGACUUACUUCCUUUACUCAAGAUUGCUUUAGCGCCAUCCACAGAGAACAGUACUCUGUUCAUUUUUAUUGAUGUAUAUAGUUCAUUGAAUAAAUGCACCAAUCUGUGAAUUCUAUUGAUAAUAGUCAUUCCUUUAUGAUAUUAAAAUAUAUUUUGUUUUUAUAGAGGCAGGGUCUCCCUGUGUUCCCCAGGCUGGUCUCAAACUCCUGGGCUCAAGGGAUCCCCCUACCUUUUCUCCCAAAGUGCUAGGUUUACAGGCAUGAGCCACCAUACCGGGGCGAUAAUAGAUAUUCUCUUUUAAACAUUAAAAAAUAAUUUGUUAAAGAUGGGGUCUUAAGCUAGGUGUGGUCGCUCAUGCCUGUAUUCCCAGCACUUUGUGAGGCCAAGGUGGGUGGAUCACUUGAGGCCAAGUGUUCAAAACCAGCCCAGCCAACAUGGCAAAACACUAUCUCUACUAAAAAUACAAAAAACUAGCCAGGCACAUUCCUGUAGUCCCAGCUACUCAGGAGACAUGAGAAUCGCUUGAGCCUGGGAGGCAGAGGUUGUAGUGAUCUGAGAUUGCACCAGUGCACUCCAGCCUGAUUAAUAGAAAAAAAAAAAAAAAAAAGACAGGAUCUUGCUCUGUUGUUCAGGCUUGGGUGCAGUGGUGUGAUCAUAGCUCACUGCAGCCUUGAACUCCUGGGCCCAAGUGAUCCUCCCAUCUCAGCUUCCUGAGUAACUAGGACUACAGGUACAUGUCACAAUGCCCAGCUAAUCUUUUAAUUUUUUUUGUAGAGACAGUCUUGCUUUGCUGCCCAGGCUGGUCUCAAACUCCUGGCUUCAAACGAUCCUCCCGCCUCAGCCUCCCAAAGUGUUGGGAUUAUAGGCAUAAGCUUUCAUGCUCAAACAAUAAUAGACAUUUUUUAUUAAUUUAGAGCUAUAGAACAAUACCACUAUGAAUAUUUUUGUACAUGUCUAUUGGCUUCCGGAUGCAGGAAUUUCUUUCUUUUUUUAGAAGCAAAGUCAGUGUUGCCCAGGCUGGAUUCAAACUCCUUGGCUCAAGCGAUCCUCCAACCUCAGCCUCCCUAGUAGCUUGGAUUAGACAUGUGCCACUUCACCUGGCUAAUGUGCAGGAAUUUCUUUAAGGUAUAUACCUAAGAAUAAAACUGAUGAAGUAUUGAGUGUGGCCACCUUCCAUUUAAUAAAUCAUACCAGCGUUUUCCAAUGUGAUUUAACAAUUUAUGUUACCGUUAGAAUUAUAUGAGGGUUUGAAAUUAUCCUAAAUCCUCAUCAAACCUUAGCAUACUCAGGCUUAAAUUUUUGCCAGUCUAAUUGUCUUCAUCUGUAUGUGCUGCUAUAAUGGAACACUUGAGACUGGCUAAUUUAUGAAACACAGAAAUUUAUCUUUUAUAAUUCUGGAAGCUGGGAAGUCCAAGAUCAAGGAACUGGCAUCUGGUGAGGGCCUUCUUACUGUUUUCUCACAUAGUGAAAGGCAAAUGUGCAAGAGAUAACAAACAACACUCUCUGUCAAGUUCUUAUAUAAGGACCCCUAAUUCCAUUCAUGAGGGAGGUGCCCUUGUGGCCUAAUCACCCCUUAAAGGCCCAUCUCUUUGUACUAUGAGAUUGGCAACACCUGAAUUUUGGAGAGGACCCAUUCAAACCAUAGCACUGUAUAAUGUAAAGCACAGAGAGAUACGAAGUCUCAUUUUUACCAUGUUACUGAGUUUAUCUCAUGUGUGUUCUCAAUGGCUAUGGUUUUAAUUACAUUUUUUAUCAAACUAUUCCUUUUUUCUUUUUUUGUGAUGGAGUUUCACUCUUGUCACCCAGGCUGGAUUGCAAUGGCAUGAUCUCGGCUCACUGCAACCUCCACCUCUGGGGUUGAAGCGAUUCUCCUGCCUCAGCCUCCCAAGUAGCUGAGAUUACAGAUGCCUACCACUAUGCCCAGCUAAUUUUUGUAUUUUUAGUAGAGACAGGGUUUCACCAUGUUGGCUGGACUGGUCUUGAACUCCUGACCUCAGGUGAUCCACUCACCUUGGCCUCCCAAAAUGCUGAGAUUAUAGGAGUAAGCCACUGCACCCAGCCUAUCAAACUAUUCUGCCUGCCAUUUCUUUCAUAAUUUCUUAUUCUUUUUAAAUAGACAUAAUUCUUUGAGCAUCCUAAACAUAAUUAUUUUCAAAGUCUUUAUUGGAUUGUUCUAUAUAUUAAUUUUAUCUGGAGAGAAUUCAAGUUCAAAGUAUGGACUAGUUUGAUUUUCUUAGCAUUAAGUUUUUUGAAGUACUUGGGAAUUUUGGUUUUCAGGCUUGUUUUGUGUGAAACAGUAGUUGUUGUUAUCUUCCCUCUAUCCCAUAAUCAACCUUCCCUAUCUAGAGGAUUUGCUGUUAACUUUGCUCUAGACUUUAACUUGAGGAUUUUAGAAAUCUCUGCCUCAAAGUGACCUUGUGAAUACUGCAGAUUCGGUCAUCAAACAAGCAUGAGGCUUGGUGAUUUUCUUCUUUCUUCUUAGAAAGCCUGCAAGUGGUUUCAGUUCCCUUUACUGGGCAGGAGGGUCUCCACACACCACAGCUCCCAGUCUCACAUGGUGAAUCUGUCUCCUGUCCUCUGAAUUCCUUGAUUCUCAUUACUUUUCAAGACCCAAAGUUCCCCUGUCACUGUCCAUUUCUGCCUGAAAGCCAGCAGGCACACGGUGUCAAUCCACUGCUUUCUGUUUCUGUUUUGUUUGAGUCUACAGAGCUGUUUAUCUUAUUUUUGAGACUGGCUAUGUCUUUUUGUUUUUUUCUGUUUUAUUUAUAAUCGCCAAGGGUUAUGGCAGUACAGUGUUCUACUAGAUUCUAAAUUUUCUCAUGAAAUAUGUCAAGUGAUGGGAUGGAAAGGAGAGAUUAGAUAUCUAGUAAAGAAUACAGUAAGUUCAAGCAUUGAUGAACCCCUCCUUUCUCAUUGCAAAUUGUCUCCCAUCGGUGGCAGCUGUGGCUAAAAUUAGCUGUUUUCCCUCCUUCCUCCCUCAUUUUCCAAUGCUUUAAAAAUAGAGUAAUGCAGCUGCAUUUAAGAUGCUUAAGACUUAACUUAUUUUUUCAGAACUCAUUUCAAACUUUUCUCAUUCCUGGAGCAGAUCAUUUGGACAAAAUGAUAUCUCAUUUUUGUUUUCAUUCUUUUGCAAUUACGUGCAUAUUUGAACUAAGUUCAUAAUGCACAUGAUUCACAAUGCAAAUGCAAACCACAUUUAGAAUCAAGAGACAGAAGAUAAAAGGUCUUUGGAAAUGUUGAUAGAACUCUUUUCUUUAAUAUUUCCAAAUAAGUAUAGAGGUGUGUUGGAAUAAAGAUGGCCAAACAUUUUUAGACUCCACCUCUAAUGACAAGAGUAGCAAUUUGCUCUCCCAUGGGGUGUAGACUGUCCUUGUGUCCCUCCUUGACCAGCAGAAUAAGAAGGAAGGGGCACUAUGUAACUUUUGAGGUUGGGUCUGAAGAAAUCUAAAGCUUUCCUAUUCACACUCUUCCAUACACUCCCUUUUAAAACCCAAGCUACAUGGUGAAACUCCUUGGAGAAGAACCAAAGCUCUCUCUGAGCUCUCUCAGCUAAGCUCCUAUCCAACAAGCAGUCCUAGCUAUUAGCUAUUUAAAUACCCCUCCUUGACAUUUCAGCCCAGGCAAGCCUCCAGAUGAGAUCAUAUGGGGCAGAAGGAAUGCCCAGCUGAGCCCAUUAUCACAGAGAAUUGUAAGAAAAUACAGAUUGUGGUUGUUUUAAGCCACUGAGUUUUGAGUGGUUUGCAUCAAAACAAGAGGAAAACGAAUUCUAGUGACUUUGGUAUCUUGCCAAAGCAAAAUUAUAUGGCUAAUUAUCAGAUAUUCCUAUGUUUAUCUUUCAAAAAAACUCCACCUCUUCUUGUACAAUCUAGUAAUAUAUAUUGAGUUCCUAUGUUAGGGAACUAAUUAGAAUUUGUACAUAUCUCUUAAUUGUACAUAUCACUUCAAAAUAUAUCUGAAUAAGAAACCUUUUUGUAUUUGACAGUUCCCCCAGUUUUCAAACCUAUUGAUUCCCUAUUAGUUUUUCACCAGAACUUUAGAAUACAUGGGAGCUGCUCUACUAAAUGUUAAAACAUAAUGUUACGGUAAUUAAAAUAAUGUUAACAUAAGAGUAAAUCAAUAGAACCAAGUAGGAGACACUGAUCAGAACCCCAUCACAUCCUAGAGUUUAGUUUGAUAAUAGUAGCAGUUGCAGUUGUAAUACAUGUUAACAUGAUUCUGAGAGAGGAGAAAGGAAGAAACUGGUCACGCAAGCAGUUAGGGUGAGUCUUCUGUUGAAUUGUUUCAAACAAAAGAACACCCCAAAACAUCAAGCUACCGGCACAGAUAAGGGAACUUGCAUGGGAGAUUGCCUAAGACAGGCCCACAGCCACACAGAUAAGAAAGGCUAUACAGCUCAGUUUCCCAGACAUGCCCACAAUGAAAAAUUUUGUCCCCUGACACAUGCACAGUAAGGGGAACAAAGCAAUAUGGAAUAACUCAAGCUAAGGGCCCCCGUGUGCACUAGGAGGAUGGGGUGGAGCUACCACAGAUUCACACCUUAUGCAAAUGAGAUGCCCAGCUCUCAUCAGUUUCCUAUAAAAUCCUCUGCAUUCAACUGUAAAAACAGCAACCCUCUUCCAGGUCCCCCCUGCACAGGAGAGAGCUUUCUUCUUUCACUUAUUAAACUUUUGCUCCAGUGUUACCCUUGGCACCUGUGCUCCUUAACUUUCUUGGUCGUGAGACGAAGAACUUUGGGUGAUAUGUCAGGCUAUGAGAGACUGCUACGUUGUGGUGUAUUGGUGAGACAUAACAAUUCAAUGUAUGUACCUAAGGUAACUGUAGACCUGUCUAGAAAAAUGAAAUUAAAAGCUCAUCCCUAUCAUAUAUAUCUCAAAAAGAAAAAUUCCAAAUGGACUAAAAAGUAAAUGUAAAAACAAACAAACAAAAAAGCUCUGCAUGUCUGCUGCGCUGGUUGUUCUCAUUCUUCCAUCCCCACCCCUGACCUCUGAUCUUCUCUGCCCUGUUCUGUGUUCUGGGGGUCUGUCCUCUGGCUUCAGGCUGGAUUCACUCAAUGGAAGGCACCAGCAAGAGAGCAGAGGGUGGAAGGAAAGGGGGAUUUAGGAAAUUUCUUCUCCAACUCUCAUUGCUUCAGGUCCAGGUUCUGGCAGGGGCUGCCUCCUGCAGUGGCUGCCUCUCUGAUGAGACUUUCUCUCCUGGCUGCAGCCCACACUGGGCAAGUAGUUCCAUUUUCUUUCCCUUAAUCCUUCAUGCUCUGGGGGGUAAUGGCAUCCCCUCUAUUACAGGUCUCUGGGUGUCUCACCAUUUUUGUUCAUCCUUCAGUCCUGCCCACAUCUCUAUAAAUAAUCACUUUAUUGUAUCUUUUUAAAAUCCAAGCUGAAUAUGCAUUUUGUUUCCCUUCGGUACUCAGGGUGAUAUAUCUACCUAUAUAUUCUUCUAGGGAAGACUUUUAAAACAAGCAAAAAGACAACAAAAAAAUAGCAAAACAUCAAAGGAAAUUUUAAAAAAAAAUUUUUUUUAUUUUUUUGAGACGGAGUCUUGCUCUGUCGCCCAGGCUGGAGUGCAGUGGCGCGAUCUCGGCUCACUGCAAGCUCCACCUCCCAGGUUCACGCCAUUCUCCUGCCUCAGCCUCCUGAGUAGCUGGGACUGCAGGCGCCCACCAUCAUGCCUGGCUAAUUUUUUGUAUUUUUAGUAGAGACGGGGUUUCACCAUGUUAGCCAGGAUGGUCUCAAUCUCCUGACCUCGUGAUCCACCCACCUCGGCCUCCCAAAUGCUGGGAUUACAGGCGUGAGCCACCAUGCCGGGCCUUUUUUUUUUUUUUUUGUCGAGACAGAGUCUUGCUCAGUCGCCCAGGCUGGAGUGCAGUGGUGCAAUCUCAACUCACUGCAGCCUCCGCCUCCCGGGUUCAAGUGAUUCUCUUGCCUCAACCUCUCCAGUAGCUGGAAUUACAGGCACACACCGCCAUGCCCAGCUUAUUUUUUUAUUUUUAGUAGAGACGGGGUUUUGCCAUGUUGGCCAGGGUGGUCUCGAACUCCUGACCUCAAGUGAUCCGCUGUGUCGGCCUCCCAAACUGCUGGGAUUGCAGGCAUGAGCCACCACGCCUGGCCACACCUGGUAAUUUUGAUCAGUUUGCUUAACCCCUCUAUGCCUCAGUUUCUUCAUCUGUAGAAUGGGGGUAAUUAUGGUACCAUCACAUACAGUUGUUUGGAAGACUAAAUGAGAUGAAGAUGUAGAGUGACCAACAAGCCUGGCUUGUCCAGGCCUGAGUGGUUUCUCAAAACACAAAACUUACAGUGCUAGAAUUGGGACAUCCCAGGCAAACUAGGAGAGUUGGUCACUCCAUAAGAUGUCAAGUACUCAGCACAAAGCGUGGUACAGAAUAUGAGUUCAAUAAAUAUUAGCCAUUAUUUUAUAUAUUUCAAAUAUGUAUUUGAGCAAAUUCCCAGUCAUGUUUUUUAUGUAGUUUAAUUAUGUACAUCUCUACCUUAUUUAAAGACUAAAACAUAAUUUUAAAAAAUAAAAUGCUUCAUUAGUGAAUCAAUAUCACUGUUCAUUUCUAACGUCUAUUUGGUUAUUUCUAAAAUUCUAUGAUUCUGUCUUUUUUGGUUUUCAUUUUGUUUUGUUUCUGAGACAGAGUCUCGCUCUGUUGCCCAGGCUGGAGUGCAGUGGUGCAAUCUUGGCUCACUGCAACCUCCACCUCCAGGGUUCAAGUGAUUCUCCUGCCUCAACCUCCCAAGUAGCUGGGAUUACAGGCACCCACCACCAUGCCCAGCUAAUUUUUGUAUUUUUAGUAGAGACGGGGUUUUGCCAUGUUAGCCAGGCUGGUCUCAAACUUGUGACCUCAAGUGAUCUGCCCACCUCAGCCUCCCAAAGUGCUGAGAUUACAUGUGUGAGCCACUGUGCCCCGCCAAUUCUUUUUGUUGAUUGCUCUGUCUCUGUCUUUGCAUGGCCACCUUCUCCCUGUCUGUCCCUGUGUCUUCACAAAGUGUUCUCUCCCUGUGUCUCUGUUUUCUUAUUAGGAUGCCAGUCACAUUGGAUUAAGGCCUACCUUAAUUGGGUGACCUCAUCUUAACUUUAUUACAUCUACAAAGGCCCUAUUUUCAAACAAAGUCAUAUUCAUAGGUACUCAGGAUUAGGAUUUCCAACAUACCUUUUUGGGGGACAUAAUUCAACCUGUAACACCGUGAAAGACCAGCUCAGUUUCUUAACAAGAUAAUUGGGUUAGAAUUCUUUACUUUUAAGGUACUGCCCAAGCAGCCUGAACUUCUCCAGAAGCUUAAUCUCAUGUUUAGCAUGUUGUCUCACAUGCUACACAUCUCUAAAGAUUUCCUCCAAACCAGUAUAAACUCAUGAAGAAAGACAAUGAGCCUCAAGUUAUUCUUUUUAAAAAAAUAAUAGCUUUAUCAAGAUAUAAUUUACAUACCAUAAUUUACCCAUUUGAAGUUUGCAAUUUGAUGGGUUUUAGUGUAUCUACAGAGGUGUACAAUAUCACCGCGAUCAAUUUCUGAACAUUUCUGUUGCCUCAAAAAGAAACCCUGGACCUACUAGCCAUCACUCCAUCUUUCUUCAACCUCCCCUGUCUCCCCUAUCCCCCAGUGGGCAACCACCAGUCUAUUUUCUGUCUCUCUGAAUUUCCCUAUUUUGGUCGUUUCAUAUAAAUGGAUUCAUAUAAUACAUGGCCUUGUAUGUUUGGCUCAGUUCAAGUUAUUCUUCUAUUUUAAAUGGGUGAAAGUCUGACAUGUGGGUGGGAUGAAUGAGUGGGAACCUUGCCCUGAAAAUCACUUGCACCUUGUAAUUAUUUCAACAUGGCCUCACAAAGAGUUAUCACAACGUCCCUGCAUUGCGUGGGCUUCAACAAGUGAUGAUGAUUGGGUUCCGCGUGUGUAGAUCAGCUCCUAUAAUUACAUCCAAUGUUGUAGAACAUGGGUGCUCUUCACCCCAAGGGCCAGCUGGUCCAUUCUGUUGUAGCAUCUCAUUGGCCAGGGCCUCCACCUCUCUUAAGGGGAGGAUGUGUCCACUCAGUGUCCAGCCUGGCAAAAGGUGCUCUGUAAUGUGCACUCCCAUCCUCCAUCCCCUCCACUACCACCCUAUAGGCCCGUUUCUUGUGCAGAUGGAUCCACAUUCUUCCACCAAUGAAGUGGUGUAUUUUCUUAUUUUGAUUUUUCUUUUUGUAUUUUUUUUCUUCCACAAAUGCCUACUUACCCUAAAGCUGUACAAACUGAAAAGGCCACUCAGGUCAUCUUUUAUAGGGCAAAGAAAAUCAAAUUCUAUCCCUCCUUAGUGGUAAAUAGAAAAGCAUGUGAGGCUACAAAACCAAACACUGGAAAUAGGACAAUUACUGAAUUCAACGAAAUUCCAUAUAUCAUUUAGACACUUCGUUAAUAUUUGUUAACUAUAGGACUUAACAAAAUUACAGAUAUCCCAAAGGAGCCAGACUAAAUAUAGGCUGACCUGGUAAUUUUCCAGCAGAUGAUAGUAUCACUCUCUUUGAGAGACAAGGGAAAAAUACAUUUAUACAAGUAAUAAUCAUUUUUAUCUGAUUUAUUCCUGUUCUUUUCUCCAAACAUUAUACAAUGCUAUGUUUUAUAAGUAACACGAAGAAAAAGAUGUACUGUUUGUUUCAGAAGGGACAUUUUGAAAGAAAAGAAAUCACCAUGUGUAGAAGGAUAUAUUUUAACAGGACUUCUUUAUUCCUUUCCAACUCACUGCUCAUCACCAUGGCAUGUAUACUCCUAUUUCUAUUUUUAUUCCCUUUAGGACUGUUCCUAGAUAUUUGUAACUAGUUCUCUAUACCUGUAAGUUUUCAUUUGCCCAGGGUUAUGUCUUCUUUUAUUUUGAUUUUUCUUCUUGUAUUUUCCUCUUCCACAGGUGUUCUUUCAUUCCUCCCUCCCCGCACCAUGCUUACUUUCUGUCAACCUACUUCUCUUUCCUUCAUUUUCUCUCUAGCAUUUACUUCCUUCCAGUUUUCUGAUCUAGAGUCUUCAGUGCUUGUGUUAUUUCUUGGCUGUAUGAUCUAGGAUCUGUUAUAGAGUGACCAACCAUCUGCUUAGCCCUACACUAAAACCCCUCAGUCCUGGGCCAACUAGGCUGGUUGAUCACUCUACUUAACAAGUUACCUGGGGAAAUAAUAUAUUGACACUAACGUAGAGAGGAUGAGUGACUGGAAUCAGUAGCAUCCUACUAUGUUGCUGUUGCUUUUUAGUGAAUAAUCAUUGGAAGAGAAUGCAAAUGCAAAAAAAAAAACAAAUAGGGGUUAUAACCGAUUAUUAGCAAGAUUCUGAUGAACUGAGGGACCACAGAAACUAAGUAUGUGAGUAAAACAGACUUUGAAGAUGAGUGUGAGAGACUGAGUUGGUCAUUAGAGCCAUCGGCUGUAAAGUUUGUGUGCAGCCUGAACCACUGUGUGCUGCACUCAGGAGAAAAUAGGAUGCCUUCUGCACUGAGGAGUUUGGCUUGGAUAAAAACCAUUGUACUGACAAUGUAGUCUACUCCAGAGUAACUGACAAAACAGGGGGAGACAUUGAGGACAUAACAACAUGGCUCUUCCUUCUCCUGAGAAGCAUUGUCAAAGCUGAGUAGUUGCACCAGUUUGAGUUACAGCAUUGGGGAAUUCCCCCAGAAGCUGAGUGGGAGCUCUACCCGGGGCUCAGUCUGUGGCUGUCACUUGUCUUCUUGCACAGAGCUUACUUAUGAGGGAAGUAAGGGGCUAUAAUCCUUGGAAAACACAGGCUUCACUACCCUUUUCAUUCGACCAUUAAAAGGACCAUUCCUCUUUGGAUGUGGAGAAAUAGGAACACUUUUACACUGUUGGUGGGACUGUAAACCAGUUCAACCAUUGUGGAAGACACUGUGGCAAUUCCUCAAGGAUCUAGAACUAGAAAUACCAUUUGACCAAGCGAUCCCAUUACUGGGUAUAUACCCAAAGGAUUAUAAAUCAUGCUGCUACAAAGACACAUGCACAUGUAUGUUUAUUGCAGCACUAUUCACAAUAGCAAAGACUUGGAACCAACCCAAAUGUCCAUCAAUGAUAGACUGCAUUAAGAAAAUGUGGCACCUAUACACGAUGAAAUACUAUGCAGCCAUAAAAAAGGAUGAGUUCAUGUCCUUCGUAGGGACAUGGAUGAAGCUGGAAACCAUCAUUCUGAGCAAACUAUUGCAAGGACAGAAAACCAAACAUCGCAUAUUCUCACUCAUAGGUGGGAAUUGAACAAUGAGAACACUUGGACACAGGGUGGGGAACAUCACACACUGGGGCCUGUUGGGUGGGGGGAAAGGGGGAGGGAUAGCAUUAGGCAAAAUACCUAAUGUAAAUGACUAGUUAAUGGGUGCAGCACACCAACAUGGCAUAUGUAUACAUAUGUAACAAACCUGCACGUUGUGCACAUGUACCCUAGAACUUGAAGUAUAAUAAUAAAAAAAAAUAAAAAAUAAAAUAAAAUAAAAGGACUAUUCCUCUUUCAUCUUCAGAUUGUCUUUGGACAUGCCAAUCUCCUUGGUAAGAGGUGAUGCUAUAAUAUAAGUAAUCCCUGCUAAGAUGUUAUUAGGCCAGACCCCUAUUGACUGCAAUAAAGAUAACACCAUGUCCUGGAGACCAAAAAAAGAGACCAAGAGACAGUGAAUGAGAUAUAGUGCUUAUAUAGGGGAAUUACAUACAGGAAUGGUCCAGUUGUGGUGGGCUGGACCGGAAAACUACUACCAUGUGUAAAAAGCAUGCAGCUUCCAUAGCAUUUUCACUUAGUACCCUCUACCUAGCAACCUCCAGUUUGCAACCUCCAGGUAACCCAAAACAAAGGGCCUCCAUCUCCUGUAUGGCCUGCAUUCCAAGGGAAGGGCUAGGGGUUGAGAUGCCCUUCAUGGAUAAGGAGUGAAUCUCUAGGUUGGCCACUCCCAGAUUCCUUAGCCUGGAACUCUGAACACACAUUCUUCUUAGACCAUAGGGCCAUUUUCAGGGUAUUCUCAAGUUCAGUUACUGCUGUCAGGUGUGUCUCCCAUAUAGCUGAUAAUUGAUGACUUAAGCUAUUUUUAGAAGUCAUAUGAAGAAAGGAUCAGUAGUCCCUUCACUUGCCCUGUGAGAGAGUGUGUCCUGCUUUCAGAGACACACAAUGGCCAUUUGACAAAUUUACUAAGACCAUUCUGAAUACAUGAGAAAUUAUUUCAUAAUACACCCAUUCUAAUGGAAAGCAUAGAACUGUGAGAUUAUCAAUGGAUAAAGGAAGUAGAAUUUACGAUUCCCAAGUAGUUAUGUGGAAAGUCAGACUAAGCCAUUCUUCCUUGCCUUUUUCAUUUGGCAAACUGCCCUGAGCAUUCACUAUGUACUGAGCACCCUGCUUGGUGUUGCAGAUAAAAAUAUGGAAACAGUAUGAUUCUUGACCUCAAGGCACUUAUGCUAAGACUUCUAGAAUGGAACAUACGUAUAAACAAAGAACCGUAAUGAGGGUUACAAGUGCUAUUGUAUAAUCAUACUCAGAUCACAACGUAGGUACUAAAAAAGGUGUGGUCUGCUAAGAAUGAUGGUUUCCAGCUUCAUCCAUGUCCCUGCAAAGGACAUGAACUCAUUCUUUUUUAUGGCUGCAUAGUAUUCCAUGGUAUAUAUGUGCCACAUUUUCUUUAUCCAGUCUAUCAUUGAUGGUCAUUUGGGUUGGUUCCAAGUCUUUGCUAUUAUAAAUAGUGCUGCAAUAUAUAUACAUGUGCAUGUGUCUUUAUAGUAGAAUGAUUUAUAAUCCUUUGGGUAUAUACCCAGUAAUGGGAUUGGUGGGUCAAAUGGUUUUUCUGAUUCUAGAUCCUUGAGGAAUUGCCACACUGUCUUCCACAAUGGUUACUUCUCUCUGAGCCAGGGGAGGGUGGCUGUGGUCUCUUUAAUGAUCUAGCCUACUAUAUCUUGAGGGUAAAGUCUAUGACUGUGGUCACUUUAUUCAUCAUUGUAUCUGUACCAUCUUGCACAUAGUAGGUGCUCAGUGAGUAGUAUUUAAAUGAGCAAAAGCUGAUGUUGUCGGAGGGCAUGGUGUACAUGAAGCAAUGUAAGCAGUUUAGCCCAAGAGUCAAGAUCCUGCAUGAUCAGGCCCUGAUUCCCUCGCCAGCUUCAUCUCCCAAGCACUGCUCCCCUUCUGCCAUGAUGAACAGUUUGAGCUUUAUCCUGGGUCAGUGGGGACCCAUAGGAGAAGUUUAAGCAGGGCCAUGAUGUGACAAGCUUUGUGUUUUAGAAAGCUCUGGCUGCCGUGUGAAGGAUUGACUACAGAGGGCAACCCUGGAGCUAAGAAGAUCAUUCAGUUCUGUAGUAGUUCAGGUGGGAGAAUGCACCUAAGAAUCCCCUGGUGUUUGUCCAGGGCCCACCCCAGGCCAUUUAAAUCAGAAUCUCUGGUGAUGGGAUCUAGGCAUCAGUAGUUUCUAAAUCCUUCCAGAUGAUUCCAGUGAGAAACCAAGGCUGAUAAUCACUAGUGUGAAUUAAGAGAGUUGCAGAAUGGAAAGGGGGCUAUAGAUGCAAAGGCUGUUAGAGGUAAGGGGACAGCAUGCCUAGCUAACAGAGCAGGGCCAAUGAAGAAAGGGGAGGAAUUGAAUUAUUCACAAGUUCUGAUUGGAGUCAUUGAAAAUGGGAAGUAGGGUGAUCAACCUUCCCAUUUUGCCAGGGACUAUCACAGUUCUCUUACUGAAGAUCUCUCAUUCUGCAAUAGUUCGUUACUGACAUGGCUUGGAUCUGUGACCUCACCCAAGUCUCAUGUCGAAUUGUAAUCCCCAAUGUUGGAGGCAGGGCCUGGGGGGACGUGAUUGGAUCAUGGGGGCAGAAUCCUCAUUAAUGGUUUAGCACCAUCCCCCCUUGGUACUAUAUAGUGAGUGAGUUCUCAUGAGGUCUGAUCUCCCUCCUCUCUCUCUUCCUCCUGCUCCAGUCAUGUAAAACGUGCCUGCUUCCCCUUUCCCUUCCCCUUCCACCAUGAUUGUAAGUUUCCUGAGACCUCCCCAGAAACAAAUGCCAGCAUCAUGCUUCCUGUACAGCAUGUGGAACCCUGAGCCAAUUAAACCUCUUUUCUUUAUAAAUUACCCAGUCUCAGGUAUUUCUUUACAGCAAUGUGAAAACAGACUAAUACAACAGGGAGGAUGGUAGUACCAUUCACCAAGAUAGGCAAUACAGGAUCAGAGUGUGGUUGGGGGAAAGGUGAUUAAUUUUAAACAUGUAACAGCUGCUAAGUAUUGGUGACUAAUGCCAUUCUAAGCUCACAGCUGAGGAUCAUAUGAGUUAAAUCCCCCACAUUCUAAAUUCCUAGAACCACAGCUGUUGGAGUGGGUCAGCCACACCCUGACAAGGUUUGCUAAGAGGAACCAGGAAGCAGAACCAGCAGCAACACCUCUCACCCUAAUAUAAAGUGAGACUGAAAGGGAGAAGACUGUUGCCUUUUGCAGAAGUGCAGUGCUCAUUUAGGAUGAUUUACUCCCAAGAACAAGGGUAGGGGGUAGGUUGCCUCCCAUCCUCAAAGCCAAGGGUAAGAGCUGUCGAGAGAACCACUCACAGGUUUGUAAGUAUCUGAUAUGUGCUACCUGUCUGAACAGCUGAAGGAUGCUAGGCUCACUGUCCAGCCCCUGUGCCACCACAGUAGAGGAAAAAAUACAUUGGGAAGAGAUGGCAUGAUGGGGGGCUGCCAAGCAGGGCAGGGGUCGAAACUGUCUUCACUUGAAGUCAUGGUGUCCUGGAGGCUUGAAAGGUGGAUUCCACAAAAGCCUGAAGACCCAGGAGUUGGCUGUGGUGAGUAGACCAUAUUUGGAGUCUUGGUCUUGUCUGGCUAUGCUGCAAUAUUGGGCAAAGAGGGGCACACAUCAGAGGAAUGGGACAUAAGGCCACCAGCUCGAGGGCUGGGCUUGAAGUUGAGAAUGAAUCUCUUAUAAGGAACCCCUAGCAUCUAGAAUUACUGGUUGGGGGCAAAUCCCCUGUCUGAAGAUGUUGUCUUCCUUCAUCUGUCCACACUAACACAAUGGCAAUAAGCUGGGUCUCACGGGGCACCUCUCCCUUCCAUUUUUCUCCUCCAUGGUCAUUACCAGCAGGAGGUAUGGUAGACUUACAAGUUGUGUGUGACCCAGAUCACAUCUCUAUUCUGCAGGGCAUAGGAGAGGAGGAGAGAGCCAUGCAUUGGAUAUGAAACUAAAGCUUUAAAAUAAAAUCAUUGGAUCUUAAGAAUAGGAAGUCUUUUUUUUUUUUUUUUUUUUUUUUGAGACAGAGUCUCAGUCUUGCUCUGUCACCCAGGCUGGAGUGCAGUGGCAUGAUCUCAGCUUACUGCAACCUCCGCCUCCUGGGUUCAAGCAAUUCUCCUGCCUUAGCCUCCCAAGUAGCUAGGACUACAGGCACCCACCCCCAAGCCCAGCUAAUAUUUUUUAUAUUUUUAGUAGAGAUGGAGUUUCACCAUGUUGGCCAGGCUGGUGACCUGCCUCAGCCUCCCAAAGUGCAGGAGCCACCACACGUGGCCAUUUUUUUUUUAACAGCUAGUAGUAACUAUUCUAAUGACUAAAAGUGACCAAGACAUGAUAUGGGGCUGAAAUUAUUAAGGAAGUCUGCUUUACAUAGAAAACAGGAUUUUGACCCAGCAGUCAUUGCCAUGUUGUGGGCAACUUUAUAGAGAGGCCAAGGUAGUGAGAGACUGAAGCCUUCUACCAACAGCAAUGUGGACCCCAGCCCCUUCAGAUGUGACAGCUUGACUGCAACAGCAUAAGAAACCCUGAGAUGGAAACUGAAGCUAAGAUACUCCUGGAUUCCCGAACCCCACAUAUUGAGAGAUAAUAGAUGUUUGUUGUUUUAAGUUGCCAGUUUUGGGGUCAUUUGUUAUGCAACAAUAGAUAACCAGUAAUUGUCCUGAGUUGGGCCAAGGGGACCAGACCUUUACAUCGGACUCAUUGAUUAGUCGUUGGAUGCAGGCUGUGCCGGAAGGAAGCGUGACUCUGGACGAGGCCGUUUUCUUCAGCCAAGGCAGCCCCCCAGAAGGCAGUCAGCUGAAGGCUGUUUUCGGGCAACAUUCGCAGCAGCCGGGUGACCAAGUCCUUUAUUGCUAAAGAGGAGGGAUCUGGGCAGUUCAUCAAGUGGUUAGUGGGAGGCUCCUGUGGGUCUCCUGAAAGAAGUUUCUCUACCCAAUUAACCACCUUAGCCCAAGAUGUCACCAGCCAAGGGAGAAAUUGGAGUUUGAGGAGCCUGGGAGCCAUGCUUCGUCUUCUACUUUCCUCCUGACCACUGCUCUCUUUUUAAAUGGUGGUGUUUCACUGGGCUUUAUCCUUGACUCCCUCCUACAUCUGUAGGAGGGGAUGUAGGGAGAGCAGUGUCCAUCAGGUUGAGGAAGAAGAGGGCAUUAGGAAGACAGUCGUGGUCAGUGAGUGUUUGCUGAAUGUAUUGGUUGGGGUCUAAGGUGAAACCAGACAGCACACACAAGGCGAGUGGCAGAAAGUAGCUUAACAAAGGGACUCCUUACAGAAUUGAGGUCAGGGGUGAGGGGCCCCAACAGGGACCACAGGAUUCUUCCCUCCUCUAGGCCUGGGGGGUGUGAGAGCAUGGAGUGGGUGCCAGCACUUGGAGAGGGCCAUCUUCAUGGAGAAAUCUGACUGUUGGAUGAAGCCAUGGCCUUCAGAGAGGAACACAGGCAACCGAAGUUUGGUACUGCCCAUAAGUCAUCCUCACGGGGCACACGGCAGGGUGAAGGAGGGCAGGAAGCUCAUCUGCAAGGGCAAGAAUGAAAGGGAGUCAGCAGACAAGAGUUAGAAAUGUUCGGCCAGGCGCAGUGGCUCACGCCUGUAAUACCAGCACUUUGGGAGGCCGAGGUGGGUGGAUCACCUGAGGUCAGGAGUUCAAGACCAGUCUGGCCAAUAUGGUGAAACCCCAUCUCUACUAAAAACACAAAAAUUAGCCAGGCACAGUGGUGGGCGCCUGUAAUCCCCAGGUACUUGGGAGGCUGAGGCAGAGAAUUGCUUGAACCCGGGAGGCAGAGAUUACAGUAAGCCGAGAUUGCGCCACUACACUCCAGCCUGGGCAACAGAGUGAGACUCCGUCUCAAAAAAAAAAAAAAAAAAGUUCACGACUGAUCUCCCUUUUAAUAGCAAUUUAAAAUGUGAAUGUUUGGGUACACUCCUAAACUUUAAGGAUGAUAUCAGAGAAACUAGUACUCUUUUUCUGUAAGUAUUCCUGGUGCCACUGACAGAUCCUAGCUAAAGAGACCACUGGUCUGAUUCAGUGGAGUAUUACUUUCCUAGGAAAUUAUAAAGUUCCCUAGGACACUGUAAUUGGCUGUGUCAGUGUUGAUAUGCUAGCUGUGAUAGUGUACUACAGUUUUGCAAGAUGUCACCAUUGUGGGUAACCAGCUAAAGGAUACAAGCUAUCUCUGUAUUAUUUUUUACGACUGCAUGUGAAUCUGUAAUCAUCUCAAGAUUAAAAAUGUAAUUAAAAAUUAAUUCACUUAUUCUACUUGAAGGAACUAAGAACAUGCUACUCCAAACUAUGCUGCUCUGGUAUAUUGGCUAUUUUGUGUUUAGGGACUGAAUAAAACAGCAGGACAAGAGGAUCACUCAGCCCUUCCUUUUAUUUUUUUGAAAGCAAGAGAUGAAAUUCCCAUGUGAAAGAUGCCCUCCUUAUACCAGAAAGAAGGUAUUAUUCUUAUCAUCAAGGAUAGGAGAUCUGUACUAAUGAAACUUGUUAAAUUAAUCCUUAUUUUCCUAGUCACUUCUCUACCCAGUUAACCACCCUAGCCCAAGCUCCUUUACCUUGUCACAUUUUAAUAAUUCAUGACUCUUUGUCUAAUUCAGUAUAAGUGUUCAAUUCUGCAUCUUUGAAUCUUCAUUUCCUUAGCCAUGUAACAUGUGUAUUACAUUUGUAUGCUUUUCUCCUAUGAAUUUGUCUUCUGUCAACUUAAUUCCUAGGCCCAACCAAAAAACCCUAAAAAAGCAGAGGUCAAGUUUUACUCUCCCUACACGCUUAUGAUAAUUAAAUGUGAGGCUUUAAACUUCGAUGUAGAGUUCCCCAGUAAUAACUCAACUACUUAGUAUUCUAAUUUUACCGGAAUGAAAUCUUUGAGUUACUUGAUCUGCUAUGACUUGAAUUUUAUUUCUGUCAAACUCGGCUGUCGUUGCCUUGAAUAGGAAGAAUAAAUCCAAAGCCUGGGAGAGAGGCCUGAGUCCUUGCAAAGCCAGUAAACAAAAUCGUAAUUGGAUCUGCCUCAUGUGCACACAGGGUUUUACCUCUCCUGUUGAUCUUGUGGUAGAACUCCUCUGCAUGGUGUGCUGUUCUCCUACAGACAGAUUUGGAGAACUUACAUGCUGUUGUUCUUGAACAGGCUUUUCAGUUCUUAGAAUUAACUAGCUCAUGUAUCAUUAGAACAAAGUAGUAAUUUAAAAAAUAAAUCUACAUUAAUGGGCUAUUUGGGGGGAACAACAGCUGCUCCAAGAUCACAGAGGAGAAGAGGGUGUUAAAACACCCAAUCCUAAAGAUAGUUCUAGAUCAGAAGCUUGAUGACUAAUUCAAUUAAAAUGAGUGUGUGUCUGUUGGCUGCAUAAAUGUCUUCUUUUGAGAAGUGUCUGUUCAUAUCCUUCACCAACUUUUUGAUGGGGUUGUUUGCUUUUUUCUUGCAAAUUUGUUUAAGUUCCUUGUAGAUUCUGGAUAUUAGCCCUUUGUCAGAUGGGUAGACUGUAAAAAUUUUCUCCCAUUCUGUAGGUUGCCUGUUCACUCUGAUGGUAGUUUCUUUUGCUGUGCAGAAGCUCUUUAGUUUAAUUGGAUCUCAUUUGUCAAUUUUGGCUUUUGUUGCCAUUGCUUUUGGUGUUUUAGUCAUGAAGUCCCUGCCCAUGCCUAUGUCCUGAAUGGUAUUGCCUAGGUUUUCUUCUAGGGUUUUUAUGAGUUUAGGUCUAACAUGUAAGUCUUUAAUCCAUCUUGAAUUAAUUUUUAUAUAAGGUGUAAGGAAGGGAUCCUGUUUCAGCUUUCUACGUAUGGCUAGCCAGUUUUCCCAGCACCAUUUAUUAAAUAGGGAAUCGUUUCCCCAUUUUUUGUUUUUGUCAGGUUUGUCAAAGAUCAGAUGGUUGUAGAUGUGUGGUAUUAUUUCUGAGGGCUCUGUUCUGUUCCAUUGGUCUAUAUCUUGUUCUGGUACCAGUACCAUGCUGUUUUGGUUACUGUAGCACUGUAGUAUAUUUUGAAGUCAGGUAGCAUGAUGCCUCCAGCUUUGUUCUUUUGGCUUAGGAUUGUCUUGGCAAUGCUGGCUCUUUUUCGGUUUCAUAUGAACUUUAAAGUAGUUUUUUCCAAUUCUGUGAAGAAAGUAAUUGGUAGCUUGAUGGGGAUGGCAUUGAAUCUAUAAAUUACCUUGGGCAGUAUGGCCAUUUUCACAAUAUUGAUUCUUCCUAUCCAUGAGCAUGGAAUGUUCUUCCAUUUGUUUUUGUUCUCUUUUAUUUCGUUGAGCAGUGCUUUCUAGUUCUCCUUGAAGAGGUCCUUCACUUCCCUUGUAAGUUGGAUUCCUAGGUAUUUUAUUCUCUUUGAAGCAAUUGUGAAUGGGAGUUCACUCAUGAUUUGGCUCUCUGUUUGUCUGUUAUUGGUGUAUAAGAAUGCUUAUGAUUUUGCACAUUGAUUUUGUAUCCUGAGACUUUGCUGAAGGAGAUUUGCUUACUAAGGAGAUUUUGGGCUGAGGUGAUGGGGUUUUCUGAAUAUAUAAUCAUGUCAUCUGCAAACAGAGACAGUUUGACUUCCUCUUUUCCUAAUUGAUUACCCUUUAUUUCUUUCUCCUGCCUGGUUGCCCUGGUCAGAACUUCCAACACUAUGUUGAAUAGGAGUGGUGAGAGAGGGCAUCCCUGUCUUGUGCCAGUUUUCAAAGGGAAUGCUUCCGGUUUUUGUCCAUUCAGUAUGAUAUUGGCUGUGGGUUUGUCAUAAAUAGCUCUUAUUGUUUUGAGAUACGUCCCAUCAGUACCUAGUUUACUGAGAGUUUUUAGCAUGAAGGGCUGUUGAAUUUUGUCAAAGGCCUUUUCUGCAUCUAUUGAGAUAAUCAUGUGGUUUUUGUCUUUGGUUCUGUUUAUAUGAUGGAUUAUGUUUAUUGAUUUGCAUAUGUUGAACCAGCCUUGCAUCCCAGGGAUGAAGCCAACUUGAUCGUGUUGGAUAAGCUUUUUGAUGUGCUGCUGGAUUCGGUUUGCCAGUAUUUUAUUGAGGAUUUUUGCAUCAAUGUUCAUCAGGUAUAUUGGUCUAAAAUUCUCUUUUUUGUUGUGUCUCUGCCAGGCUUUGAUAUCAGAAUGAUGUUGGCCUCAUAAAAUGAGUUAGGGAAGAUUCCCUCUUUUUCUAUUGAUUGGAAUAGUUUCAGAAGGAAUGGUACCAGCUCCUCUUUGUACCUCUGGUAGAAUUCAGCUCAUCAUCACUGGCCAUCAGAGAAAUGCAAAUCAAAACCACAAUGAGAUACCAUCUCACACCAGUUAGAAUGGCAAUCAUUAAAAAGUCAGGAAACAACAGGUGCUGGAGAGGAUGUGGAGAAAUAGGAACACUUUUACACUGUUGGUGGGACUGUAAACUAGUUCAACCAUUGUGGAAGACAGUGUGGCAAUUCCUCAAGGAUCUAGAACUAGAAAUACCAUUUGACCCAGCCAUCCCAUUACUGGGUAUAUAUCCAAAGGAUUAUAAAUCAUGAUGCUAUAAAGACAUAUGCAUACGUAUGUUUAUUGCAGCACUAUUCACAAUAGCAAAGACUUGGAACCAACCCAAAUGUCCAUCAAUGAUAGACUGGAUUAAGAAAAUGUGGCACAUAUACACCAUGGAAUACUAUACAGCCAUAAAAAAGGAUGAGUUCAUGUCCUUUGUAGGGACAUGGAUGAAGCUGGAAACCAUCAUUCUGAGCAAACUAUCACAAGGACAGAAAACCAAACACCACAUGUUCUCACUCAUAGGUGGGCCUGUGGACACACCAGGGCCUGUCGUGGGGUGGGGGGAUUGGGGAGGGAUAGCAUUAGGAGAAAUACCUAAUGCAAAUGACAAGUUAGUGGGUGCAGCAUACCAAUAUGGCACAUGUAUACAUAUGUAACAAACCUGCAUGUUGUACACAUGUACCCUAGAGCUUAAAGUAUAAUAAAAAAAAUUGAAAUUAUAAGAAUGUAUACAAACAAAAUAAAAAUGAAAUAAAAUAAAAUAAAAUGAGUGUGUGGAAUAUGUAAAGUCUCCAGGUAUGUUUUUACCCCCAGAUUUUUUUUUUUCACAAACUUAAUACAUGGGGCUGGGAGUGGAGGCUCAUGUCUGUAAUCCCAGCACUUUGGGAGGCCAAGUUGGGAGGAUUGCUUGAGCUCAGGAGUUAAGACCAGCCUAGGCAAUAUGGUGAGACCCCAUCUCUUUAAAAAUAAUAAUAAUAAUAAUACAUUGGUAGGCUAAAGUUGCAGAACAAAUAUAAUUCUUGGUCCUGUAUACAAAAGAACCCUCAGUGAUAGUAUGCUUUUUAUUCAAAUCCUUGAAGAUCAAGGUUUAAGUAGUUUUAUUUUAGGGUAGGAUGUGUUUCAUGCAGCAUUAAUUUUAUUGUCUUUUUUUAAAAAAGCAUGUAAUUGGUGUAGUCAGGACUGAAAUUUUAUUCGUCUCCUCAGAUGAAAGUAGUAUCUUAUUAAACAGCCCUAGACCAGGAAAUACAAGGGCAUUAUAAUGAAUAAUUCUAAGCUCAUUAUGAUCUCAGUGAAUAGGUUCAGAUUCAGCACAAUACUAGAACUGAUGUUUAUUAACACUGAUGGCACAAAGUACAUGUCUGAUCCACUUCAAUGGAGUCAUUAUUUAGUGUGACACUGCACUGCCAAAUGCAGCCAUGUUUGUGGAAAGACAGGAAGUUGUCACAGGGCCAGGAGCAGUGGCUCACACCUGUAAUCUCAACGCUUUGGGAGGCCAAGGUGGGAGGAUUGCUUGAGCCCAGGAGUUUGAGACCAGCUUGGGCAACGUAGUGAGACCUCACAUCUCUAACAAAAAAAAAAAAAAAAAAAAAAAAAUAGAAAAAAUAAAAAAAAAACUAGAAAGUCAUUACAACAAAAUUUUAUGCCAGAAAAUGUACUAUCAAGACCCAUAGACAUAUGUAAACAUGGUCUCUUUCCUAGGCAUGGACACUUAUACCUUUAUCACCUAAGAAAGAUGAAGGUCUAAGGCAGAAACACAGCUCCUUUAUUAGCUAAAACGUCUUGUAACAUCAGACGCCUUAAAUUAUCCACUAAUUACAUUUAAAUAAAAAAUGUGGGGACAAAUUAGCUUUAAUCGAAUUAAAAUGAAAUUUCUAGUGCAGCUAGAUGGCUGUUUUGCUAGAAUCUGUUUAGCUGUAAAUUCCAUUUAGAGUUGUUAAUAGUAUUCCUCUUCAACUCUGUUUAACCCACCCAUCAUCAUGGUGAAUUGCCAAAUGUCUUACAAGGUAGAAUAAAUAUUCUUGGACCUCUUUUCAGGUCAGGCAUCAUUGGAAAUUUCUCCUUUUCACUUUACUAUUAUUUUUGAGACAGAGCCUCACACAGGCUGGAGUGCAGCGGUGCAAUCUCAGCUCACUGCAACCUCCACCUCCCGAUUUCAAGUGAUUCUUCUGCCUCAGCCUCCCAAGUAGCUAGGACUACAGGCGCCCACUACCACGCCCAGGUAAUUUUUUUUUUUUUUUUUUUUAGUAGAGACGGGGUUUCACUAUAUUGGCCAAGCUGGUCUCGAACUCCUGACUUCAUGUGAUCCGCCCGCCUUGGCCUCCCAAAGUGCUGGGAUUACAGGCAUGAACCACUGUGCCCGGCCUAAGUUUCCCUUUUUUAUUUACCAGUCCUGAGCUGGGUUCACAACCUGAAUUAAGUCCUUGUUGUGCAAUUGUGUGAUGUUAUGACUUUGCUGAGCUUCAAUUUCCUCAUCUGUAAAAUGAGGAUAAUGUUGCAGCAUUCAGAGACAACAUAUAUAAGGCACCUAGCACAGAACCUGCCCACAGUAGGCCCUAAAUCAAUGGUAGUCAACAUCAAAUAAAGCUGAUUAACCAGCUUGAUUUGAAACUUAUUUCUACUUUAGAUAAUUUCACAAUAAGUCUGAGACAUGCUGUAACAAAUUUUCAUGCCUCUCCUUCAUAAACAUGAAUGACAUGAAUGAAGCAAAACGAACAUUUAGGCCUCGGUUUUCACAGAUAAAAGACUAGGUAGUGACCUCUAGUGGUAAACAGGCAAAAUGCCUAAAGGCGAUACAUUUUCUCCCUUACUUAGGAUUCAGCCUGAAAUUGAUCACAGAAGUGCAAUGUAAAGCUAUGAGAUCAAAUGUAAUUAAUACUUGGAUAAGAAUUUAGCCUUCAUGCCAUUCUGUAAAACAAUGAAAUAAAGGAAAAUGUCCUUGCCUUCUGUUAUGCCAAAAAUUGCAGUUUAAUCAUAUGAGUAACAAAAGAAUCGGGGCCAGGCAAAGUGGCUCAUACCUGUAAUCCCAGCACUUUGGGAGGCCAAGGCAGGCAAAUCACUUGAGCCCAGGAGUUUGAGACCAGCCUGGGCAACAUGUGAAACCCCGUUUCUACCAAAAAUACAAAAAUUAGCCUAGCCAGGCAUGAUGGCAUGUACCUGUGGUCUCAGCUACUUGGGAGGCUGAGGUAGGAGGAUUGCUUGAACCUGGGAGGUUGAGGCUGCAGUUAGCCAUGAUCACACCCCUGCACUCUAACCUGGGUGAAAGAGCAAGACCCUGUCUCAAAAAAAAAUCAGAGCCAGAAAAAAAUCAAAUUAUAUUUGAUUUUUUUGACAAAUAUGAGCUAUUUUGAUUCAUUUUUGCACAAAUGACCAGAUGUUACAUUAAAAUUUAUUUCAGUAGUACCUUAAGUGGAAUUAUAAACUUCUUUCCAAGUACAUAGAGUAGUUCAUAAUGGAUCAUUUUGCAGAAUUUCUGAUAGUGUCGUAAAAAGAAAAUGUGCUGUAGGAUCUUCACUGAUGACAUUGUCUAAGCACUAGUUAUUACUUACAGAGCUUGCCUUCACUGGACAUUAGCAGGGCUGGUUCCCAUCCAGCUUCUGAACUCUUACAAUCUCCAUUUCUGCCAACAUUACUGCUCGUGAAAUUCAAUCAGUACAGUAUAGGAUGGUGGUUAAGAGCAUGAACUCUGAAGCCAGACUGGGUUUAAAUCCCAGCUUUACCAUUUGUUGACUAUGAGAGAUUGAUGCCUCAGUUUCUUCAUCUAUAAAACAUCAGUGUUAAUACCAGCUACCUUAUAGGUGGUUCUCAUGGUGGAUUAAGCUAAUAUAUAGACAGUGAUUAGAACAGAGCCUGGAAUUAUUAUUGAGCAGAUGUUAUGCACCUAUACCAUUCUAGGGACUAUAGAGAAUGCAUCCAAAGCUGAAAAUCCAGGCCCUGUCCUCAAGAAUUUAUAGUUGACAUGGAAAGAUCUUGCUAGAGGAAUGGGCCUUCAUUCCACUUGUUGGUUUGCAGGAGGGGGACUUUUUUUUUUUUAAACAUAUGCCUGGCUUCUUAUGUCCCUAUUCUUGUUCCCCUGCAAGAUGUGGAGCAACUUUCUUGGAGUGAAGUGGCAUUGGGCGCAGUCCCACAAGGAAAAGGACACAUAUUUUUGAAUGCAGUUAGGAAGUAUGUUUGGCCCUUACUCUAUAGUAUAUCCUACAAUUUGCCUCCAUCAAUAAUAAAGGUAAUAACCUGGGUUCUGGGGGUCAACUACCGGUUAUGGUUCAUUUUUUUCAGAACUCAGCCAGAAGUGGCAAACUAUUUACUGAGGAGACACUUAGAGACCCCACAAAACACAAGAGCCAUUCAGCGCCAACUUCUAUGGUGUGAACCUACUAUAAAAGCAUUUCCAGAAAUGAGAAUUUGGUGUAGACUGAAGCAACAGGAAUUGAUUUCAUGGAAGUGGGACUUAAGCUGGUUCUUGAAGAAUGAGAUAGAAUUUGGAUGGGGAGAAGGAGGAAAAGCAAGAGCCCUUCUGCAAGCAAAGCAAUUUUUUUUGAAGUUUGUACUUCUAUGUAAUUGAAAUAUAUAAAAUAUUGAUUAAAAUUAGUUAUAUUCCUGUUUGAUGACACAUGGUGACCUAGCCAGGCUGUGGUGGAGAAAUAGAUGACAUAGGUCCUUGCUGCCUGAUUUUUUAGUAUUAUGUGACCCAAUUGCCAGGAAUGUUCUAAGCACUUUGCACAUAUUGAGUCACUUACUCCUCACAACAACUGUAUGACAUAGACAUCAUCUCCUCCACUUUACAACUGAGGUUACUGAAGCAUAGAGAGUAGUUAUCAGCCUAAUGUCACACUGCCAGUAAGAGACAGAACUAGGGUUCAAACCCAGGUAGUUUGACCUGCAUCCCAUUCUCUCUCAUCAUUCAGCUUUACGAUUUCUCAGUCCAAGGGAAGAAGUUGGGUGGUCUCUCUUGUGAAGGAAACCAGUGAAGAGACCAGAGUGAUGGCUUGGACUUUGGAGGCUGCCACAUAAAGCUGGGAGGUAGUGGGGGCUCAUCAAUGGAGGGUUUGGAAAGCCAAGCACAGGAACUUGGCUGUGGAGAAAGAAAAAGAAGAUUCAUCUUUCUGUGUUCCUGACCAAGAACAAUUCCAUACUGUUCAUUGCAUUAAUUCCAAAGAUUUCAAGGGUUCCAGUUUGGUAGACUGGACAUUAUGUACAUAUGAGAAGAGGGUAAAACAAAAACAGAACUGGACCCUCUAUGCAUCCCCUGGGCUGCUGCUGGGAAGGCACAUAGCUGAAAGUGGAAACGUGUUCUCUUGUCCUUUUUUUCCAAGCACCUGCCUAGAAGACAAACAAGGCUGGAGGUAUGAAUUUGAGGUUUCACCUAUAUUUGAGAGCUGAAACCACAAAAUGUUAAACUCCCUGGGAAAAAAGUCACUAAAGAAGCAGAAGAGAAACACCAACAGAGGAGGGCAUAUGGACAGCACGGUGCUGUGGAAGUUACUCUGCAUAAUUUAAGAAAUUCCCAGUCAGCUACUUCAAAGAGGUGGUAGAAGAUGAGAACUGGGAUGAAGCCAGGAAAUUUAACAAUGAGCCUAAGAAUGUUGAAGAGAGGAAAUGAAACUUGGCUCUGCCCUUAUGAUGCUAUUGCAUAGGGUCAAAAAAGGCAUGUCUGGUUUAUGUGAGCCUCCUCACUGUUUCCCACCCUCCCGGGACAUAAGGCCCCUUUCAAGUUGGCUGGGAUGGGCAUGGGAGUGAGGAACUGAGUCCUCAAGUUACAAAGUUGGAAUUCCUUUUUAUGCAUUAGGCUUGGCUCCUUGGUACCACACCUUAGCCCUCUCCCAUGGGCUCUUCGCACACCUCCUACUCUCCUGAUCUUUGAUAUUCCCUCUGCUGUCAGCUGGAUUUGCCCAUGUCACAGGCAGUUCAGUUCCUGGUGACCACCCCUGUCCAGCUGUGACCUUCAAGAGGGGCCCUGCCCCAUGUCUCUCUCAGCUCCUGCCCGACCCCAGUCUGGAUUGUCGCACUCCUUCCAGGAAGCAUUAGCCUCUCCUCCUUGCCCCUCUGGCUCCUUAGAGCUACUCUGCCACCCCCAAAUUACCUUGGAAAAGGUUAGCUGUGUCUGCAUACUUGUUACUUUGUGCAUCUGCUGGCCUUCUGCUCACCCCACAGACAGGGUGGUGGACACACAGUAAGGUGACCCCCAGGGAGUCCUGCCCUUGUGUAGUCCCUUCCCCUGAGCAACAGGUGGAACCUGGUCCUACAAAAAUUACCAAAAAAUAGCCAGAUGUUGGUGGCGGGCUCCUGUAAGUCCUAACUACUUGGGAGGCUGAGGUGGGAGGAUUGCUUAAGCCCAGGAGGUCGAGGUUGCAGUGAGCCAUAGUUGUACCACUGCACUCCAGCCUUGGUGACAGAGUGAGACCCUGUCUCAAAAAACAACCCCACAACCGUUCCCCGCCAACAACUCCACCACACACAAGAGGACAGGGUUCAGAGAGCUUCUGAAGAGGUGACCACGUGGAGGUUCCUGGAGGGUGGUAUACCUGGAGACGGCCUUCAAGCUUUGUACCCCUUCCCCUAUACCUUGCCCUACACACUUCAUCUAUAUCCUUUGUAAUAUCCUUUAUAAUAAAUGAGUAAAUGCAAGUAAGUGUUUCCCCGAGUUCCGUGAGCCACUCUAGAAAAUUAAUUGAAUCCUGCUGGACUCAGUGGCUCACGACUGUAAUCCCAGCACUUUGGGAGGCCAAGGUGGAUGGAUAACCUGAAGUUAGGCAUUAGGGACCAGCCUGGCCAACAUUGUGCAAUCCCCUCUCUAAUAAAAAUACAAAAAGUAGCUGGGCAUGGUAGUAUGCCCCUGCAAUCCCUGCUACUUGGGAGGCUGAGGCAGGAGAAUCGCUUGAACCUGGGAGGCGGAGGUUGAAGUGAGCUGAGGUCGGGCCACUGCACUCCAGCCUGGGUGACAGUGCGAGGCUCCAUCUUAAAAAAAAAAAAAAAGAAAAAGAAAAUUAAUUGAAACCAAAGAGGGGGUUGUGGGAACCCCAACUUAAAUCUGGUCAGCCAGAAGUUCCAGACACUUGGACUGGCGAUUGGUGGGACUGAGCCCUCAACCUGUGGGAUCUGACACAAUCUCCAGGUAGACAAUGUCAGAACUGAAUUGGAGGACACUCAGCUGGUGUCCACUGCAGAAUCUAUUGUUUACUUGCUGGUGGAGAGAAAUCCCCACAUAUUUCGGGGUCAUAGAAGUCUUCUGUGUUUAUUGUGUUGAUAUGAGUAGAGGAGUUUGGCUUGAGAGAUUUUUCCAAACAGGAUAUCAUUCCCUUGAUCAAUUUCAUUAUAGAAGACUGUCUAAAGUAACUAGAGAGACUUUCUUGCUGCUAAUUUUUGUACUUUUUGUAAAGACAGCUCUCACUGUGUUGCCCAGGCUGGCUCCUGCUCUUGAGUGAUCCUCCCACCUCAGCCUCCCAAAGUGCUGGGCUAACAGGCAUGAGCCACUGUGCCCUGCCCUUGCUGGCUUGUUGUUUGGGGCUGCCAUCAGCUCCUAGAAGCCACCCACAGUUCCUUGCCACAUGACCCUCUCACAACAUGGCAGUUCCUAUCUUCAAAGCCAGCAAGAAAGUCUCUCUAGCAUACCCAGCAAGAAUGUAUAGGGCUGUUCAGGGCUCACAGUAGAUUACCUUUCUCAACAGAUGGAGUAGGGGGUGACUUAAAGUGUGCAUAAUCUUUAAAAAUUAGCAUUUUCCAUUUGUACUCUCUAAAUUUGGGUUAGCUGGAUCCAAACCCCAUGAUUCUGCUACAUAUGGGAUCCCAGUCCACCUAUCUCUAGCAUACUUCCUCUAUUAAUCAUUCUCUCUUGACAUUUGCCACCUCAUUUUAGCCAGCUGUGCUUGUUUUCACUUAUGUUAUUUUAUGAGCAGUGCUUAUUUUGACAGCAGCAUACAUAGUGGAAUGAUGGCUGGUUCUGGCAUUUAAAAAGCUGGAUUCACAUUCAAGCUCUACCAUUUGCCAAAUAAGAAACCAAUACUCCCAUCAGCCAACUCAAGUAGUAAAGUUGGAAUAGCAUAGUGCCUUUGAUUUUUUCCCUUACAGGGGUGUAGUAGUGAAGGGUAUGUAACUCAAAAUAAUCUUCUUGAAAGUCAAGCUUCUCCUCCUUUCCCCAAAACUUGUUCCCCACCUGAAUUCUCUACUUGUUACAGUCACCAUUCAUCCAUCCCGACCUCCUCCUCUUCAUACCUUUGCAUCAAGGCUUGCCAGUUUUACCUUCUAAGCAUUGUUCUUCUGCCCUUUUCUUGACCUCCCAACUGCCAUUGUCUAUCUUUAUCAUGUGUCAAUCCAGUAGUUCCCUGAAGUAGCUUCUAGCAUCAUGCUGGCCACCAUUCUAUGAUGUCUUACUACUGCCUGAGCUUGUCAUUUCUCUCAUUUCAAACACCUUUCAUCCUCAUACAGUCCAAUUUCCUUACACAUGUUUUUGCCUUAAUUCCUUCUACAUCUCACCUUGUGUUGUUUUACACUGUAAUAUUACUUAUUUCUUGUAUUUCCUAAUAUCCACCAUGGCAUUUAACAUUUUUUGUGUCUUUGAUGCUCUUCCUACCUGGAAUACCAAUCCUGUUUUUGACUAAUUCCAACUCAUUUAAAAAUUUUGAUCAGCAUGGGACAUGGUGGCUCAUGCCUGUAAUCCCAGCACUCUGGAAUGCUGAGGCAGGAAGAUCAACUGGAGACCAGCCUGGCAACAUGGCAUGACCCCCAUCUCUACACAAAAUUUUUUUUUUUUUGAGACAAUGUCUCGCUCUGUUUCCCAGACUGGAGUGCAGUGGUGAGAUCUCAGCUUACUGCAACCGUCACCUCCUGGGUUCAAGCGAUUCUCCUGCCUCAACCUCCCAAGCAGCUAGGAUUACAGGCAUGCGCCACCACGCCCAGCUAAUUUUUGUAUUUUUAGUAGAGACGGUGUUUUACCAUGUUAGCCAGGGUGGUCUCGAACUCCUGACCUCAUGUGAUCCACCUGCCUCGGCCUCCCAGAGUGCUGGGAUUACAGGUGUGAGCCACCAUGCCUGGCCACAAUUUUUUUUUUUUUUUUUAAUUAGCCAGGCAUGGUGGUGCACACCUGUAGUCCAAGCCAGCUGGGAGGCUGAGGUGGGAGUGUUACCAGGAUGUGUGGAGUCCUCUGUUCUUAGUCUUCUUGGGAGAAGAAAUUUGGCCAAGAGACCAAUUAGUAAAGUAAACAAAGACAUAUUAAGGAAAUAAGAAUAUGCUCCAAGAGAGGAGUGGGCUGACCCUGCUGGGAGCAGUAGUAGUAGCAGUCUGUUUAAAGAGAUAGUAUGCUCUGAAAGAAAAGUCAGAGUGGGCUGCUGGAAAGAGAAUGAGCCAGCAGCCCCUAGGGUUCUGCAUUGAGAUUUUUGUUAUGUUGGGACUGUUUCUUUAAGUUCCCACCUCUGUCUCAAGUCUCCACCUCUAUCUUUAUCUAGCUUCCCCCUUCUGCAUUAAGUCCCUGCUUUUUUCCUGCCUAGUUCCUGCUCUAGGUUUAUGGGAUUCUCCUUUACUGGUAGUUAAGGCACAUGCAAGGACUGGUGUUGGGUACAAUCCUAAUGGCAGCUUUGCUUAUUACCCUCUAGCGUUGCCCUCUAGGAAGGUCAUAUAGCAGUUAUAUGUGUACAUAUUACCCCUGCAUAUCUCUCAGACUCUUAGAAAUUUCCCCUUUGCCCUUUUUUUUUUUUUUGAGACAGAGUCUCAAUUGUGCAGGCUGGAGUGCAGUGGCAUGAUCUCGGCUCACUGCAACCUCUGCCUCCCAGGCUCAAGCCAUUGACCUGCCUCAACCUCCUGAGUAGCUGGAAUUACAGGCACUUGCCACCAUGCCCAGCUAAUUUUUGCAUUUUUAGUAGAGACAGGGUUUCACCAUGUUGGCCAGGCUGGUCUUGAACUCCUGAACUCAGGUGAUCCACCCACCUCGGCCUCCCAAAGUUCUGGGAUUACAGGCGUGAUCCACUGUGCCCAGCCAUCCCCUCCUUAUCAGCAUGUGGCUAGCUCCAUUCUGACCGAUUAGCUGCAGCGUGAGUGAUUACUGGGCAUCUUAAGAGUUGUUCUGAGGUGUUUCUUCGUGCACAGGUAUUUUCCCUCCUUUAUGCUCAUAUCUAGCAUGCAGAUUUCCAGUGGUCUCUGAGGUGUGAGAUUUUCCAGACCUCCCUUUCUUCAGGCUCCCCCUCCUGCUCAUGUCUAGGUAUCUGCCUGCUGUAACAGGAGAACUGCUUGGGCCCAGGAGUUCAGGCUGCAGUGAGCCAUAUUUUGGGGUGAAAUUCCCUGUGCUCCCUCAGUAUGUCCACAUAAUGGGAUAUUAUGUUGCUAUAAAAAAUGAGAACACUCUAUUAAUUGGGUCCAGGACAAGUCACGCCAAAAUAUGACUUUAGGAGACCAGAAUAUGCCAGGCCAAAAUAUGUCUCUUUAACAUAAGGAUUAUUUUGAGCUGUUAUUUUGAGAAAUUGUAGACACAGUAGAGGCUCUGAAAAGUUAUCCUGUGUGAGAGAAAUUUACAUCUAUCAAAGAAAUCUCCAUUUGUGAGACUGUGUCCCUGUCUACACCAGGAAGAGGAGGACACUAGAUCACUAGACUCUUAAUCAAUGGAGAAGGCAUUGACUUAAAUCUGCAUAGCAGAACUUACCUUUGUUUAUGGUGCUUUUCCUGGUCAUCUUGUCAUACUGAAACUGCUGUUGCAAAAUUAUAACUGAGACAGUAAAAGAGAUCUGACCUAACUAACUCCAUCUUGCUUCUAACCUCCAAGCUGUCCUUGUUUAUUCGUGGGUGUAGGCCAAACUAACAUCAGGAGAAACUUAGUUUAUAAUUUAAAACAAAGACAAUAACAGCCCUUUCCCAAAACAGACCUGCUGAGACCAGCUCGGUCGGGGAGACCCUAACUCAGCAGCGCUAGAGGAAUUAAAGACACACACACAGAAAUAUAGAGGUGUGAAGUGGGAAAUCAGGGAUCUCAUAGCCUUCAGAGCUGACAGCCCCAAACAGAGAUUUACCCACAUAUUUAUUAACAGCAAACCAGUCAUUAGCAUUGUUUCUAUAAAUAUUCGAUUAACUAAAAGUAUCCCUUAUGGGAAAGGAAGGAAUGGGCCGAAUUAAAGGAAUAGGUUGGGCUAGUUAACUGCAGCAGGAACAUGCCCUUAAGACACAGAUCGCUCAUGCUAUUGUUUGUGGUUUAAGAAUGCCUUUAAGUUGUUUUCCGCCCUGGGUGGGCCAGGUGUUCCUUGCCCUCAUUCCAGUAAACCCACAACCUUCCAGCUUGGGCAUUAAGGCCAUUAUUAACUUGUUACAGUGCUGCAGAGAUUUUGUUUAUGGCCAGUUUUGGGGGGGCUUGCUCCCAACAUGUCUCCCUUCUUUGAUUUGCAGAGAGAUAAAAGCAAGGGCAGCUUUGUCACGGUAAGCUACUUCUCGCAGGAGUCAGGAUCCGCACCUGCAGACUAUACAAAGACAAACAACACAGAUUAAAAGCACAGUCAUCAUUGAAAUCACAGAGCUUCCAGGUGUUUUUAUCCAUUUUAAUGGGUUACUAGCUGCUAAUUUGUCUGCAGCUCCUUUAAGCACUCCAGUUCCUGGCAUUAACAUCAGGUGUGCCAGGGAUGCUUUAAAUAUUUGUUCUUUUAAUUUUGCUAUAUCCAAAAACAAGUUUGUAGAGUCUCCUUCUAGAAGCUUUUUUAUUCUUUCCCAAAUUUUGAUCUUAUUAAGAGCAUUUAAUAGUUUCCACAAAUCCUUAUGUUUAGCUCCUACAGCGGACCAUAUCAUUUGAGUUUGAGGUGCCACUAUACCGCCAUGUUUCCAGAUAAUAGGAACUUUUGCCGUACUUCUUAUCAUUUCUACCAUCUGACCAUUUUGUUCAGAUCAUCUGAACACAGUGUGGCCAUGGCACGCAGACUGAGAGUGCAAUUCAAGCUAAAUAUCCCCUUAGGGGAUCAAUUAAUAAUGAUUCCAUAGGAAUUGUUGUGCAGCACCUCUGCUGGUUCUGAAAAGCAAUCUUCCUAAACAACUACUUUCAUUUUUUCUAACUGGGUCCAAUCCUGUUUACAAAUAGGUUUUUGAGGGCAGUAUGCCUCAAUUAUAGGAGCAGAUUUAUUAUGGUAAAUACUGAGACCAGAAAGCAUGUGUAAUUCUCAUACAGUGAUUGCAUCCAGGCAUUAUUACCAGCCCUUAUUGAAGGAAUACUCACAGUAGUGGUGAUAACCACUAUCAUAGCUACCAUUAAAUUAUUCAUUGUGACUGGUUGUCCCACUUUCCUCAAGUUUUCUUCCACCAUCUGUGACAGCUUCUUGAUCUGCCCCCAGAUGGGUGGCUGUGUUCGACAGGUGUUGCUUGUGACAGUUGGGGUCCUCCUCAGCAUCAGUCUCGACAUGGCUGCAACCGAGGGGUCCUUGGGAUCCUCCCGGAAUCUCUUCCUCAGCAUCUGGCUCAUGAUAAGGUUUCAGGUGUCUUGAUGGUAUCCAAAUCGGCUGUUGAUUUUGGCCUGGAGAAAUACAAGCAUAAACUCUACCCCAAGUUAUUAUUUUACCUAUUUCCCAACUUUUUGUUAUCAGAUCUCUCCAACAAAUCAGUUGUUCUGUUUCUGUCUUUGCAGCUGGUUUCUGUAGAUGCUGUUCAGCUAUUGAUAACAUCUGGCCUUUGGGCAGGCUCAAAAAAUUUAAAGUUAAUAAUGCUAGGUUCAGUUGCAUCUGUGCUGUUCCAUAUUCUCUGUCUCUUCCUUUCUGCUUUUGCAACUGCUGUUUUAGGGAGAGAUUUAUUCUUUCCACUAUGGCUUGUCCUUGAGAAUUGUAUGGGAUAUCAGUAAUGUGUUUAAUAUUCCACAUAGAGAAAAAUGUAACUAGAGCUUGGCUAUUAUAGCCUGGGGGCAUUGUCUGUUUUUAUAGAAGCUGGAAUGCCCAUCACCGCAAAACACCGCAAAAGAUGACGUUUAACACAGGCAGAAGACUCUCCUGUUUGGCCUGUAGCCCAGACAAAGUGAGAAAAGAUGCCCACACAUACAUGUACGUAAGCUAGUCUCCCAAACGAGGGAAUAUGUGUGACAUCCAUUUGCCAAAUAGAGUUAGAUUCCAAUCCUCGAGGAUUAACUCCUCCUGUGAAAGAUGAGGAAUGUACCAUUUGGCAAGUCGGGCAUAGCUAGAUAAUAGCUUUAGCUUCUUUCCAGGUAAUGCUGUAUCUGCAUUUGAGACCAGAAGCAUUAACAUGGGUUAAAUUGUGAAAGUGUCUAGCAUUAGAUAUUGCAGUAGCAAGUAGGCAAUCAGCCAUUUGAUUCCCUUCAGUCAAAGGUCCUGGAAGAGGUGUAUGAGCUCUAAUGUGAGUGCUGUAAAAAGGGUGCAUUCUACUCCUAACUGCUGUUUGCAGUUGGGUAAAUAAAGUCAUCAGUUGUUCAUCUGUAUGAAAUCGUAACUGAGCAUUUUCAAUUAACUGUGUGGAAUGAACCACGUAUGAAGAAUCGGAAAUCACAUUAAUAGGCAUAUCAAAAGCAGUCAAUACCUCAAUUACAGCUACAAGCUCCGCUUUUUGAGCUGAAGUACAGGACGUCUGGAAAACUUUACUUUUUGAGCCAAAAUAAGAAGCUUUACCAUUACUAGACCCAUCUGCAAAAACAUUCUCAGCACCUUCAAUUGGUUUAAAUUUAGUUAUUUUAAGGAGAAUCCAAUUAGUUAAUUUCAGAAACUGAAACAGCUUCGUUUUAGGAAAAUGAUUAUCGAGAAUACCCACAAAGUCAGCUAAAUGGGUUUGCCAAGUAAGACUAUUUAUAAAAGCUAGUUGUAUUUGUGCCUUCAUGAGAGGGACAAUAAUUUUUCCAGGAUCAUAUCCAUGUAAUUAACAAUCCAAGUUCUCCCAAUCCCUAUCAUAGUAGCGAUUUGAUCUAAAUAAGGAGUUAGAGUCCGUGAAUUAGUAUGUGGAAUAAAAAGCCACUCUACUAAGUCCUGUUCUUGGACAAUAACACCAGUAGGUGAAUGCUGAGUUGAAAAAAUUAGCAAAUCUAGAGUCUUCUCUGGAUCUAUUCUAUUUAUCUGAGCUUUAUGGACUUGCUUCUCAAUCAGUUGUAACUCUGUCUCCGCCUUCUUUGUUAAUUGCCAAGGGCUAGUGAGACUAGGAUUUCCUCUAAGGAUAGAAAACAGAUUACUCAUGGCUUAGGUAGGAAAGCCUAGAGCAGGUCGUAUCCAAUUAAUAUCCCCUAGUAAUUUUUGAAAGUCAUUUAAUGUUUUUAGUUGAUUCCUACGUACAGUUACUUUCUGUGGCACAAUGGUGGUGUCAUUUACUAAGGUCCCCAAGUAGGAGUAAGGAGUAGUAGUCUGAAUUUUGUCAGGAGCUAUAACUAAACCAGCACGAGAAAUUGAAUUUUGCAAGUGAUCAUAACAUUGGAGUAAUAUUUCUCGAGUGGGGGCAGCACGUAGUAUAUCAUCCAUACAGUGAAUAAUGUAACAAAGUGAAAAUUUUUUACGAGUGGGUUCAAUUGCUUGCCCCACAUACGUCUAGCAAAUUGUUGGGCUGUUUAACAUGCCCUGUGGCCACACUUUCCAAUGAUAAUGCUUAGUAGGCUGCAGGUUAUUUACUGCAGGAACUGUAAAUGCAAACCGUUCACAGUCUGGCUCAGCUAAAGGGAUAGUAAAGAGACAGUCUUUUAAAUCUAUGACUAUUAAAGGCCAAUUUUUUGGAAUUAUAGCAGGAGAAGGCAAUCCUGGCUGUAAUGCUCCCAUAGGUUGUAUAACUGAAUUGAUGGCUCUUAAGUCAGUUAACAUUCUCCAUUUACCUGAUUUUUUCUUAAUUAUGAAAACUGGAGAAUUCCAAGGAGAAAAUGUGGAGCUAUGUGCCCAUUUUCUAAUUGUUUGGCAACUAAUUUCUCUAAAGCCUCCAGUUUUUCUUUACUUAGUGGCCAUUUUUCUAUCCAAAUUGGCUUAUUUGUUAACCAUUUUAAAAGUAUAGGUUCUGGAGGCUUAACAAUGGCCACCAUCAAAAGGCGGGCAGAUCACCAGGUCAGGAGAUUGAGACUAUCCUGGCUAACACAGCAAAACCCCAUCUCUACUAAAAAUACAAAAAAAUUAGCUGGGCGUGGUGGCAGGCGCCUGUAGUCCCAGCUAUUCAGGAGGCUGAGGCAGGAGAAUGGUGUGAACCCAGGAGGUGGAGCUUGCAGUGAGCCCAGAUCACGCCACUGCACUCCAGACUGGGCGAUAGAGUGAGACUCUGUCUCAAAAAAAAAAAAAAAAUUAUUUCCUAAUCUUUGGUGAGAACUUUGUUUUUCCACUUGAAGCGGUUCUUUCAAACCUUGCAAAUUUUUUUCUAGUCCCAUACCAGGGACAUACCUAUUUCCUGCAUUGUACAUUGACUUUGAGGACUAUAUAAUUGUUCUGGAAUUAGAACUUGUGCUCCCCAUUGUUGUAAUAAAUCUCUUCCCCAUAAAUUUAUAGGUACAGACGUUAUAAUUGGUUGAAUAGUCCCAGGUUGUCCAUCGGGCCCUCACAGUGCAAAAUAUAACUACCUUGAUAUACUUCAGUGGCUUUACCAAUUCCAACUAUGUUAAAUUGAGUGGGUUGAAUUGGCCACGUGGACAGCCAGUGCUGUAGAGAAAUGAUUGAAAUAUCCACUCCUGUAUCUACCAAACCUUUAAAUUUCUUUCCUUGAAUAGUUAUUUCACAGGUAGGACGUUUAUCAGUAAUUUGAUUUAGCCAAUAAGCUGCUUUGCCUUGUUUAUUUGUGCUUCCAAAUCCUCCUGUUCAUUUAAUUUCACUUUUUCCCAUUCCCACAUAUGGCACAAUCAGGAGCUGUGCUAUGCACUCUCCUGGCUCUGCUUUCCAGGGAACAGAAGUAGAUAUAACAAUUUGAAUUUCCCCAAUGUAAUCUGAAUCAAUGACUCCUGUAUGUAUUUGUACCCCUUUUAAAUUUACACUAGACCUUCCUAAAAGUAAUCCCAUUAUCCCUGCUGGCAAGGGUCCACAGACUCCUGUUGGGACCUUUUGCAGGGGUUCCCCAGGCAGAAGGCUGACAGCUUUUGUGCAGCAUAAAUCUACUGUGGCACUACCAGCUGUGGCAGGGGACAGACAUUGUACAGGGGUGAGGGAAUGGCCUGAGCUGGAAAUGUCCUGAUUUAGAAUGGGGCCUGGGACGGGCUCCUCAUGGCGUUUCCCAAAAUUGGGUUCCCUUCUUUAUCAAACUUAGAGUGACACUGACUAGCCCAGUGUUUUCCUUUUUUACAUUUUGGACAUAUUUCAGGCUCAACAGUUUUCUUUUUUCCCCUAUCUGGCGGCCUGACUUGCUGAUUUUUUCUACAUUCCUUUUUAGUAUGACCAUGCUUCCCACAAGAAAGUUAAAACAAGCUCCAGGAAAUGGAGUAUUUCCUUUAUCCACUCUCCGUCCUGCCACUGCCUGUGCCAACAAAGUAGCUUUAUGCAGAUUACCUCCAAUACCAUCACAGGCCUUGACAUAAUCAACUAAAUGUGCUUUCCCUCUGAUAGGUCGCAGAGCAGCCUGGCAAUCGGGAUGAGCAUUGUCGAAAGCUAGUAACUGCAACACUAUCUCCUGAGCAGCCGAAUCUGCAAUCAUCUUUUUAAGAGACUCCUGUAACCGAGCUAUAAAAUCAACAUAUGGUUCCCUUGGUCCCUGUUUCAUAGCACUAAAGGAAGGGUAUUGUUCCCCACCUGAGGUGAUUUUUUUCCCAAGCUCUAAUGCGCACUCCUCUAAGCUGUUCUAUGGGAUCAUCCUGCAUGGACAAUUAUGCAUCUAAACCAGCCCAGCUGCCAACCCCCAAAAGUUGGUCUGCAGUUAUAUUAAUUUGAGGUUGGGCCUGGGCAUUGCGAGCAGCCUGAAUGGAGGCUGCAUCUGCCCACCAAGUUUUAAAUUGUAAGAACUGAGCAGGAGUUAGACAAGCUCGAGUAAGAGUGUCCCAGUCAGUAGGAAUCUUCUGACUGGAAACUGUAACAUUCUUUAACAGUCCCAUUACAAAGGGAGAACCUGGUCCAUACUGACUUAUUGCUUGUUUGAAUUCUUUGAGUAAUUUAAAAGGAAAAGGCUCAAAUGUAGCUAUAAUAUUUCCCUGUUGAUCUGGGGGGUGUAUUCUAACAGGGAACUGCCAAGCCUCUAAAUCACCCUCUUGUCUAGCUUGCUGAAUGCCUGCCUGAAUAGAACUAAGAGCAGUCCCUCGAGGUGCUGCUCGAACAGUCACGGGGGCAACUACUUUUCGCCCAGUGUCCUCCGGAAAAGAAAGAUCUGGGGGGUCAUUUUCUUCAAAAUAAUAAUGAGGGGGUGCAGAAGGGUAGGGAUGAACCUCUCCCUCCUUUGCCACUUUGGCUUUAGCUGGCAAAUAAACCUGCUCUGUAACCUCUUCUGUUACUUCACUAUACUCUUGUUCCUCCUAAUUAUCAGUGUGAAAAAGUUCCAAGGUGAAAUGAACCAGACCCCAUACCUGUCCAUUGUUACCCUGACGCUUCCGAGCUCCCCUUCUUACUCACCAUGCGGAUUGCUUUAAGAGUACUUGGGUGUCCUCCAGCUAGUUUUCUGUUCCAACCGUUGCUCUGGCAACCCUUCGACCUGGAUUCAAGCCCCCACGAAUGGACGCCACUUGCUGAGACCAGCUCCGUCAGGGAAACCCUAACCCAGUGGCGCUAGAGCAAUUAAAGACACACACACAGAAAUAUAGAGGUGUGAAGUGGGAAAUCAGGGGUCUCACAGCCUUCAGAGCUGAGAGCCCCGAACAGAGAUUUACACACAUAUUUAUUAACAGCAAACCAGUCAUUAGCAUUGUUUCUACAGAUAUUCGAUUAACUAAAAGUAUCCCUUGUGGGAAACGAAGGGAUGGGCCGAAUUAAAGGAAUAGGUUGGGCUAACUAACUGCAGCAGGAACAUGCCCUUAAGACACAGAUCCCUCAUGCUAUUGUUUGUGGCUUAAGAAUGCCUUUAAGUGGUUUUCCGCCCUGGGUGGGCCAGGUGUUCCUUGCCCUCAUUCCAGUAAACCCACAACCUUCCAGCUUGGGCAUUAGGGCCAUUAUGAACAUGUUACAGUGCUGCAGAGAUUUUGUUUAUGGCCAGUUUUGUGGGGGCUUGAUCCCAACACAGACCCCUUUCUUUACUGAGAACUAGACUGCCUUUGUAAGACUAACAAAUUAGCCAAAAGAUAUGAAAUUAUGGUUUAGGAAUCAUGCAGCUGGAGGCUGCAAGAUUCUGACCCUCUCCAAGUUGUUUCUGGGGAUAACAUCACUAUUGUAAGGCCUAAGAUCACUGCUUGAGAUAUUUUGCAGAGCCAUAUUUUGAGGUAUCACCUCUGUAGGGGUGAAAGUAUAACUGCCCAACAGGUUCAUUUUGCCCACUGCCCAGAUAGAGCCAAUUUAUCAAGACAGGGGAAUUGCAAUAGAGAGUUUAAUUCAUGCAGAGCCAGCUGAUACUAGAGUUUUAUUAUUCAAACCAGUCUCUGCAAAUUCAGAGGCCAGGGUUUUUUAAGGAUAAUUUGCUGGGUAGGGGCUAGGGAAUGGGUGCUGCUGAUUGGUUGGUGAGUGCAAUCAUAGGGGUGUGGAAAAUGGUCCUCUUUUGGUGCACUGAGUCUGUUUCUGGGUGGAGCCAUAGGACAGGUUGGUGGGUCUGAAUGGAGCCAUCAGUCAUCAGAAAGGUUAAAAACCUGAAAAUAUAUCUCAAAAGGCCAAUCUUCAGUUCAACAAUAGUGAUGUUAUCUGCAGGAGUAAUUGGGGAAGUUGCAAAUCUUGUGGCUAGUUUGUUAGUCCUACAAAGGCAGUCUGGUCCCCAGGCAAGAAGGGAGUUUGUUUUUGGAAAAAGCUCCAAAUUCUGCCUCCUGGGUUCAAGCAAUUCUCCUGCCUCAGCCUCUUGAGUAGCUGAAACUACAGGCACACACCACCAUGCCCAGCUAAUUUUUGUAUUUUUAGUAGAGAUCGGUUUUCACCAUGUUGGCCAGGCUGGUCUCAAACUCCUGACCUCAGGUGAUCCACCUGCCUCGGCCUCCCAAAGUGCUGGGAUUACGGGCAUGAGCCACUGUACCAGGCUGAUAAAAUUUCUUUAAAAAGAUUUUUUAAAAAGGAAACUCCCCAUGUUCACUUAAAAUGUUUUAUUUCCUGAAUUUUAAUUAAAACUUUUUAAUGUCCUUCAUAUACUAUAUGAUGGUACUGAAUUUUAAUCUUUUUGAUUUAUUUUAUAUGAAAGCAGAAUCUCUGGGGGUGGGAGUGAUACCCUGGUUAAUUGUUCUCUAGGUAUAUGUGUGUGUGUGUGUAUAUAAGUGUGUGAGUAUUUUAUUUAUUUUAUUUUUUUGAGAUGGAGUCUUGCUCUAUUGCCCAGGUGCAAUCUUGGCUCACUGCAACUUCUGCCUCCCAGGUUCCAGUGAUUCUCCUGCCUCAGCCUCCCUAGUAGCUGGGAUUAUAGGCAUCUACCACCAUGCCCGGCUAAUUUUUGUAUUUUUGUAGAGACGGGGUUUCACCAUGUUGCCCGGGCUAGUCUUGAACUCCUAACCUCAGGUGAUCCACCUGCCUCAGCCUCCCAAAGUGCUGGGAUUACAGGAUUGAGCCACUGCACCUGGGCUUCUCUAGGUAUAUUUUUGAGUUGGUUUGGAAAAUUGUGACAAUAAUGCCUGGUGCAUAUGUAGAUCUUUAUGUGAAAUUCGUUGACAUCAGUGCUAUCUAUGCCAUUGAAAGAUCAUCUGAUCCAUUUCUCCACUGCUCCUCUAAUGUUUAUAAAAAUGUUCUCUUAGUUUGGCUAAUAUACAUAUAAUGAAAUGGGGAAAAUGUUUAAGCACAGGGAACCCAUCUUUUCCUGUUAUGAGAAGGAACAUUUGAAUUAAUGUUAAAGAGAACAGAGAUUUUCUCUAAAGGAGGGGUUUGUCUACAACUGCUCUGGGGAAAAUCUGUCCAAGUGUUUGCCACGCCUAUGGCCUGAACUCCUGAAACAUCUUUCAAAACAUCCAAGACAGGUGGGGCGUGGUGGCUCACUCCUAUAAUCCCAGCACUUUGGGAGACUGAGGUGGGCAGGUCACUUUAGGUUAGGAGUUCAAGACCAGCCUGGCCAACAUGGUGAAACCCCAUCUCUACUAAAAUUACAAAAAUUAGCUGGGCAUGGUGGCAUGCACCUGUAGUCCCAGCUGCUUGGGAGGCUGAGGCAUGAGAAUCAUUUGAACCAGGGAGGCAGAGGUUGCAGUGAGCUGAGAUGGCACCAGUGCACUCCAGCUCGGGUGACAGAGUGAGAAUGUCUCAAGAACAAAGAAAACAUAAUCUCCAAGCGAGUUAUAGUGCAUGCUACACAGCAUCACCUCCCAGAUCUCAGGUAUUUUUUCUACAAUCAGGAUUAAGACAGGUAGGAAAUAACUUGGUCUUUCAAAAACGGCUGUGGCAUGCUGGAGGCCAGGAGGGCAAAUCUUGCCAUUAGAUACAUGUUGGCUGGCGCACAUAAUGUUUUUAAUACUACUUUUUUAUACACAAACAGAAUUUCUGGCUUCUUAGGAAUAUCAAGCUAUAUGACAACACAAGGUCCAUAUUCCUGCAUAAAACCAUAGGGGCAGGGGUUCAGUCCAAGUGUCCCCUUUAAAUGGGGCAAGUGCUCCUCAGUUCACCAAAGGCCCCCACCUCCCUACCACUCCCUACCCCUCCACCAGGCCCACACAUUAGUUACCUGUCAAUAAAAAGAGUUGAACUCUGUAACAUAUUUGAAGAGAUUUAUUUUGCGCCAAAUAUGAGUGACCAUGGCCCAUGACACAGCCCUCAGGAGGGCCUGAAAACAUGUGUCCAAGGUGGUUGGGGCACAGCUUGGUUUUACACAUUUUAGAGAGGCAUGAGACAUCAACCACACACAUUUAAGAAAUACAUUGGUUUGUUCCAGAAAGGCAGGACAACUCAAAGCCGAGGCUUCCAGGCUAUGGUGAAUUUAAACAUUUUCUGAUUGACAAUUGGUUGAGUUUAUCUAAAGACCUGGGAUUGAUAGAAAGGGAAUGUUCAGGUUAAGAUAAAGACUGUGGAGACCAAAGUUCUUUUGAAAUCUUAUAGUGGCUGCCCUAAGAGAUGAUAGAUGACAAAUAUUUCCUAUUCAGAUCUUAGUCUCUUCAGGAUUGGGAGGAUCUGCAAUAAAAAGAUCUAGCUAUGUUAAGAGAUUCUUUACAGAUCCAAACUUUCCCCCACAAAGAACAGCUUUGCAGGACAAUUUCAAAAUACGGCAAAGAAACAUGUUUUGGGGUAAAAUAUUUUGAUUUUCUUCCUUGUCUCAAAAUGUUAUGAUGCCAGAGUCAGUUUGGAAAGUAAGUCAUGAUAUAUAGAGUUAAAACCCAUCUGAUGUGAAUUUAUGAUUUGUAGGUUAUGACUCCCCAGACCCCUUAGGUAGGAAUUUGGGCAAGAUAAAAAAUCAAGAGUUUAGUCCUUAUAUCCAAUGAGGGCAUUUGAACUAAUGUAAUGGCUUCUGUUUGUUGUUUUGUUUUGUUUUGUUUUGCUUUGUUUUGUUUUGAGUCAGGGUGUUGCUCUGUUGUCCAGGAAAGUGCAGUGGCACAAACAUGGCUCACUGCAGCCUUGACCUCCCAGGCUCAGGCGAUCCUCCCACCUCAGCCUACUAAGUAGCUGGGACUACAGGUGGGUGCCACUACACCUGGUGGAUUUUUAAAAAUUUUUUGUAGAGAUGGGGUGUCAUUAUGAUACCCAGGCUGGUCUCAAACUCCUCAGCCUCUGAUUCUCUCACCUUGGUCUCCCAAAGUGCUGGGAUUACAGGCAUGAGCCACUGUGCCCAGGCAAUGGCUUCUUUAAAAUGCUAUUUAUCUCUCCUAUUUAAGUGCCCCUCUCUAUAUUUAAAUAGUAGUCCUGCUGGUACCCACCUCAUGCAACUUAGAUUACUGGAUUUGUAUAGUUUUACCCUUUAAAAAUCUAUUUUGUAACUUGCUAUACUCUCCUAGAAUACUAUGCGGAUUAAGUUCUUAAUGUGAUAAAUAUUCUAUUAUAUACAUAUUCAUUUCUCUUCCAAGUGAUUUCCUUGUCUUAGGGACCCAUUAGUUACUUGCUAUUCAAUGGGUAUCAAUAUAUUGUGAAAAUUAAUCUUUAGUAAAUUUUCAUUUAGGUUUUGUUUGAUUGUUUAUUCUUUUAGGUUUGAUUGCUGAUUUACUUCUCUGAAUUUUAGAUUCUUCUGUAGUUUCUGACCUCCAGGCAAAGGUGGAUGAAUGGAGUUCUGAUAUAUUAGUGAGAUAAAGGGCUCAAUAGAAUUCAUCCAAGAGACACAGCUGCUCCAGGGAGAGCCACCAUCAUUAGCAAUAAGGAAAGUAAGAGUACAAGGCUCCUUUGCUAGAACAACUGGGUGCUUCUUUCUUUUUUUUUUUCCCUCUUCUCUUCCUGACCUCCAUAUUCUAACUUUACAAGUGAUUUUUUUUUCUUUUCCAAAGUAAAGGAUGAGAACAGAAGAUUCUUUCUACUUCCAUAUCCAGGAACUGAAACUCACUAUAUUUAUCCCCAAACACCUCCUUCCAUUCUUCUCCCAGAUUGGCUAAUGUCCACAUUUAUAUGCUUAAUGUUUCCUAUAGCUACUACACAUUUGAUCACUUCCAACAUGAAACAUUGGAACAACCCUGAAUAUCACUGCCAUAAAGAUAGCCACAGAGAUUGGUUACUGCUUGGUGUUUGCCUUAUUUGAACACAGUUUGAACACUUAGCAGUCUGAGUGGUUGCAGUAUGGCUUCUGGGAUUGGCCAAAACUCAGCUGUUGUUACAGGUGCAUACAACUAAGUUAGGUUUUCAAUUUUGUCUGAUUAUUAAGCUAGGUUACAGUUCAUCCACAAGGACUCAAAUAUAGAAGUACAGAGUCCUGGCUGGGUGCGGGUGGCUCAUGCCUGUAAUCCUAGCACUUUGGGAUGCCCAGGCGGGCGGAUCAUGAGGUCUGGAGUUUGAGACCAGCCUGGCCAACAUAGUGAAACUCCGUCUCUACUAAAAAUACAAAAAUUAGCCAGGCAUGGUGGUGCGUGCCUGUAGUCCCAGCUACUCGGGAGGCUGAGGCAGUAGAAUUGCUUGAACCUGGGAGGUGGAGGUUGCAGUGAGCUGAGAUCAUGCCACUGCACUCCAGCUUGGGCAACAGAGUGAGAUUUCGUCUCAAAAAAAAAAAAAAGAAAAGAAAAAGAAAGAAAGAAAAGAAAGAAAAAAUAAAAAAUAAAAGAAAUACGGAGUCCUUCUCAGGCCAUAUUUAGUUAGCUUUAAUGCUGCAUACACCUUAACCAUACCACAUAGCAUAUGGUUUCCAUGUCAGUUUCACCCACCAGCUCCUUAAGGGAUAAAGCAGGUAUCUUCUUUAGAUUUUGGUGCCUACUUGUUUGAUGAAAGGAAAGAGGGAAGGAAGGAAGGGAGGGAGGGAGGGAGGGAUGCUGACAGACAUUCUGAGAGCAGUGUCUAGAUAUCCCGAGGGCCGUGGCAGAGAGGGAUGUGAAUUACCCAUGGUGAUGCCCCCAAGGUGAUGGCUCUUUGGCCCAGAAGAUGUGUACAGGGCAAACUCUUACGCCUACAGGGACAGUGAAGGAAGGUAGUCUUAGGUAUAAGGCACCAAAAAGUAGUGGGGACUGUGGUGAACAGACAGAGAGGAAAUGCUCUGUCUAAAGGGAACAAGCUAAUAAUUGCUAUGCAGAAAUGCUGGCCCUGUGUGGCCAGACCUUCUGAUUGGAUUUUUUUUUCUUUUUUGAGAUGGACUCUCAUUCUGUUACCCAGGCUGGAGUGCAGUGGCAUGAUCUCAGCUCACUGAAGCCUCUGUCUCCCGGGUUCAAGUGAUUCUCCUACCUCAGCCUCCCCAGUAACUGGGACUACAGGUGUGUGCCACACACCUGGCUAAUUUUUGUAUUUUUAGUGGAGACUGGGUUUCACUAUGUUGGCCAGGCUGGUCUUGAACUCCUGACCUCAAGUGAUCUGCACCUCAGCCUCCCAAAGUGCUGGGAUUACAGGCAUGAGCCAUCGUGCCUGACCUGGAUUCUUCUUUUUUUUUUUUUCUUUGAGAUGGAGUCUCGCUCUGUCGUCCAGGCUGGAGUGCAGUGGCUCAGUCUCAGCUCACUGCAAGCUCCGCCUCCCGGGUUUAUGCCAUUCUCCUGCCUCAGCCUCCCUAGUAUCUGGGACUACAGGCGCCCACCCCCACACCCCGCUAAUUUUUGUAUUUUUAGUAGAGAUGGGGUUUCACCGUGUUAGCCAGGAUGGUCUCAAUCUCCUGACCUCGUGAUACGCCCGCCUCAGCCUCCCAAAGUGCAGGGAUUCCAGGCGUGAGCCACCACGCCCAGCCCUGGCCUGGAUUCUUUUUUGACUGUUUUUAAAAAAAAUUGGAUCAUUAUUUUAAUCAGUUAAUACUGAUUGUAUUUUUUCCCCCAAAGAAGUCAGAAUCAAUAUUUUAGAAUGAGAAAUCUCCUACAUUUUAAAUAUUGGUCACAUUAAACAUUAGGCUAGAUUCUGGUCUUGGUUUGACAAUUUGUGGUUUCUGGUACAAGACAUUGAGGAAUGUUGAUUUGUAAAACUAUAAAAAUGUGAGCCAGUGCAGUGGUUCAUGCUUGUAAUCGUAACACUUUGGGAGGCCAAGGCAGGUGGAUUGCUUGAGACCAGGAGUUAGAGACCAGCCUGGGCAACAUGUCGAAACCCUGUCUCUACAAAAAAUACAAAAAUUAGCUGGGCACAGUGGCGUGUGCCUAUAGUCCCAGCUACUGGGGAGGCUGAGGUGGGAGGACUGCUUAAGCCUGGGAGGUCGAGGCUGCAGUGAGCCAUGUUCAUGCCACUGCACUCCAGUUCCUGGCUUGGGCUACAAAGUGAGACCCUGUCUCCAAAAAACAAAACAAAACAAAAUGGGACAGUUGCAGAGCAAAUGGCGAAAUAUAUCUACAAGAACACACUCAUCAAUCAAAAGCUGAGUUAAUUUAGUUAAAUACACAUUGGAGAAAAGAGGAAAAUGUAUUAAGGGAAGUGUCAGGUAAUAAAUAUUGAAUCAGGUCCUUGAUUUGAUUUUGAAGCAGAAAUGAGCUAUGUAUGAAGGAGGUCCAGUAAUAAAAACAAUGGGAGAUUUCUUCAAUAGGGGUGAAUAAUUUUGUAGGUACUUAUGCAUUCUCAGCUAUAAAUACCCCUGUAGAAGCAGCUAACAUCAUUAAAUCCAAAUAUGAAAAUUUAUCCAUGCUAAGUAUUCACUACAAGAACCAAUUGCACAAGUUGGGGACCUGAUUUUAAUAAUUGGACUAUAUUUUUAUAUUAAAAUUACUUUUCAUCUUGAGCACUGUAAAAUACCAUACAAACUUAUUACUUCAUUAAGUCCUGAUAUUACCCAAUGAAGUAGAUUAUUUGUAUUCCCACAUUUGCUAAGAAAUUAAGGUUUGGAAAAGUUUCAUUCAUUCAUUUGACAAAUAUUUAAUUUAGUAUGCAGUAGUGAACAAAGCAAACCAAACCUCCUGCCUUCAUGGAGUUUCAACUCCAGGUGAAACCAAGUAAACAGACACAGUAAAUAGCCUUCCUUUCAGACGCAGCACUGUUUUUGAAUUCAGGCUUGCCUUCCUUCCUUCUUUCCUUCCUUCCUUCCCUUCCUUCCUUCCUUCCUUCCUUCCUUCCUUCCUUCCUUCCCUUCCUUCCUUCCUUCCUUCCUUCUUUCUUUCUUUUUCUUUUCUUCUUUUUUUCUUUGAGGCUGGAGUGCAGUGGCAUCAUCUCAGCUCACUGCAACCUCUGACUCCCAGGUUCAAGCAAUCCUCAUGCCUCAACCUCUCAAGUAGCUGGGAUUACAGGUGUUCACCACCAUGCCUGGCUAAUUUUUUUAUUUUUAAUUUUUAUUUAUUUGUUU